rnacentral:lncRNA from 1 species
ACCUUCUGCCGGUCAAGAGAGGCGAUCCAGGACGCCCCGUCAUCCCGAUCUCCAUCGGCAUGUUGGACUUCCUAGAAGCACUCUGCGACUUUGGCUCCAGCGUUAACAUUAUGCCCAGGCUUGCAGAUCGGACACUAAGUUUCCCAAAGGGAAUAUUGAAGAACCUCGGCGUCCGAGUUGGUACCUUGUACGCCCCAGCAGACUUCGUGGUGAUAGAGACUGGUACUGAUGAGAGGGCACCCAUCAUCCUAGGAAAGUCAUUCCUGAACACCUCGAGAGCUGUCAUCUACGCUAGUGCUGCCAAGAUCAGUUUCUACAUCAAGGGGAGGAAGGAGAUGUUUUCCUUCAAGAACAAGACUAAACAAAUCUCAGAGCAUUCCCGACAUGAACCAAGGAAGAGGAACAACAGGAGGAACAAGAACAAGCAAAUGUGGACCGAGUCAGCUAAGAUGGUCACUGCAGUUCAAGGAGGACAAGAUCGUCGACUUAAGUCACCGUUCCUGACCAAAAAGGAUGACCUAGUCACCUAUCAGCUCCUGUUCGGAACCAUGCCCCUAAAAUCGACAUACAUUCAGCUCCAGAUGGCAGAUCAGACAUUCCGAAAGGUUGUUGACAUGGGAGAAGACAAGUACGAUCCACCCAUCAUCCUUGGGAGACCGUUCCUCAGCACCAUUAAAGCAAUCAUCUACAUUGGAACGGGAGAAGUCCACAUGCACUUCCCCUCUGAGAAGGUACGUCGCUAUUUUACUAACCUUAACUAUAUAGUUGAAGACUCUAAGCAGGUCAGGACAAGAAAAAGACGACGCAACCGCAACCAGAAGGGGGCAAAUCAUCAAGGAUAGAUGGGUAGACUACGAAGGAGAAGUGGUAAGGUCUGAAGACAUACAGCUUGAACAGAACUGUCCUGAGAAGACCGUAGCACCGAGUUAGGUGUGUAGAGAGAAGAUAGUUAUACAUGAAGAGCAGGCGCCGCCGGAACCACCGACUACGCCAUCCAGCGAAUCCCAGGAUGACUGAGGAAACAGAGAGUCCCAUUUGGAGGACUUAAAAACACCGAACGCCUUGCUAAGAGGUAAACUUGGUAGUUAUCCUUUUCCUUUCAAUUAUUUUAAAAUAGUUUGCUUAGUUAAUCAGGUUCAUAUCAUCUUAAAAAAAUAAAAAUGUUAAAAAUAGUAAGCCCCAUGUGAGUAUGCUCAUGGCAUAAAAUCCAUAAGUACAUUCACUGUGGUGGCGUAAAAAGGAAACAAAUAUAUUCCUGUCCUAUAAAAAUAAAAAUAUAAAAAUAAAUUUAUGAUCCUGCUAAAGAGAGUAACAUUUAUUGUGGAGGCUCAACAUGAUAAAAGCUAAGAGAUUUUAUGCUAACACUUAACCAGUUCCACAAAGCUUUGUUGUUUAUUUGAGCUCCACAGAAUUCAAGGAUCAAAGAAGACUAGCAGACGGAGGACAUCCUAAUCGCUGUCAGGGUGCUGCCGACAUUCAAAUACACCUCUGCCACCUUCUAGCUACAUCAGGAGAAAUUACGUCAAAAUCUAGCUUGGGGGAGAGCACCCCCAUUUAUCUAGCUAAGUGUUCUACUCACGUUUUUACUUUACUUAAAUAAUAAAAACAUGCAUAAUCAUAAAAACCCAAAUAAAGAUUUUGUGCUUAUAUAUAUAUAUAUCUUUGCUUAGUUUGCUAAAUAAAUAAAUAAAGUUUGCUAUGAACCCUGAUGAUAAGCUCUCACAUGGAAAUGAUGAAUAGUUGCUCUGCCAUGACUAGUUCUCAAAAUUAAAAUCUCUCUUAAGUUUAGGCAUGACUGUUAUUAAUUAAGAUUUGCUCUAAACCUGAACUUGUGGGAAGAGUACUUGAUCUAAGUCUAAGUCGUUAACGGAUACGAUAUGAGAAGGUUGAGCUGUUGUUUAUCUGUUCCUAGAGAUGCUAGAAUUCUGGAGAAUUUUAUCUUUGAAAAUCUUUAAAAUGUUGCAUGAUGAGUUCCUGUAUGAUGAUCGUUUAAAAACCUAUCACCAAAUGAUAUGAUCCACUUCAUAUCAUCACGUGACCAUAUUGGUUCAUCGAUCUUGACCUCACUUGCUCUUCACCGUUGCCUCGGUCCAUCUGCGCUAAGUCUUGCUCAAGCUUCACCGUCACACGUGGUCCCUCGCUUCAAAGCCUCCAACUUGCCCUUCACUCUUGCAACCGGUCCAUCAAGCCAAGCCUCAUCUUGAUCUUCUCCACCUUGGUCACAUGACUCCAUGUCAUGUCUCAUAUGCAAUGAGCUCCUCCAUCCUCAUAUCAUCACCUAUGGACUAAUCUCCUGUGUAUCUCACAUAAACACUAUUAGUCCACCUAAGUUGUCACUCAAUUACCAAAACCAAACAAGGACCUUUCAAUCUCCCCCUUUUUGGUAAUUGAUGACAACUCUACAAAGAUAUGGAAAUUAAGCUUUUUCAAGCUAGCACUUCACACAAGUGUAAAUUGCUAACUUGUUUUGGAUUUUAUGCUACUUAUCCAACAUUUAAGCUCUAUGUCAAGAUUUGGAUAAGCACCAUAAAACCCUACUAAGUGCUAAGGUGUAUAGAAUAAACCUUUGUAGUUAGAUACCAAAUUCGAUAUCAUUUGAAGCAUUCAAUGUACACCAUCCUUAGCACCACGUGUAGCUAGACAACAAGAACACUAGAAACCCCAUGAGAUCAACAUUAAAAGUAAGGGUCUAGUUUUUACUUGAAGAACACAAGUCUAGCUACCAACCUAUGCAUGCUAGUUAUCAUAUCAUCAAUCAAGUUCUAUAACUAGCAUACACCACACAAGCAUGCAUAUUGAAUUUAAAACUUAUGCAAUGCAAGCAAGCACAUGAAUAUACACAUAUCAAAUGCAAACAAUCAAUGUUCAUGAGCUUGCUCCCCCUACUUGUGUGCUUCUCUUUUGUCCAAAAAUUUUGAUCCAUCAUCUUUUCUUUUAAUGUUGCUCCCUUGUCCAUGUCCAUCUUUGAUCUCUCCCCCUUGAAAUAUAUAUUUUGUUGUCCAACUUAUCCCAUGAUCAUAUAUCUUUUGUUGUCCAACUUAUCCCAUGAUCAUAUCUUUGUUCCAACUUCUCCCCCUUUGUCAUCAAUUUCCAUAAAAGGUAUGUGAUACCAAUCAAAUCACUUCAUACCAAUUGAAAGAGUGUGCAUCUCAUUGUGACAAAGGAUUGCAUUGGGAUAGAUGGUUGAGGCUUGAAUCUUGCAUUUUUGAUGGACAUCACCAUAUGUGUUGGAAUGACAUUUCUUGUAUUGCUCUUGAGAUACCACAUAGGAUCUUUGACCCUGAUACCAUUUGGUGGGGCACUCCCCCUAUGUCAUAGCAUGGGUCAUUCACUUGUCAAUCUUGUUGGUGAGGGAACUUUUCUUUGCUUGAUGAUCACUUAAAGUUGAGGAUCACUUGUGGAACCACCUUCUUGUAUGAUAGAUACCAUAUGCAUAAAUGUGAUAUCAUUUGAAAUAUCUUGUCCGAUACCAUAUGGGAUUCUUCUACCAAUAAGAUAUUCUAGUAUGGAACCACUUGCUUACUUUCUUGAACAUUUGCUAUCAUGAGUACCAAUUGUAGGAUACCAAUUGAGGAAACAUUUGAGUUUAGAUAUCCAUUUGCAUUGUUGUCUUGUUCUUGUAUUCUAAUCAUCAUGAGCUUCUAAUUGUAGACUUGAACUAUGUUGAUUUGACUAAGCUUCCAAGUCCGGUUUGAACCAAUGAUAAGCUUUUUCACACCUCACAUUAAGGGUUAUCUUGCCAAUGUUGUACUUUGUAACACCCUAAAAAUUUAUUUCCGGAAAAUGGAGUUAAAUUAAUUUAAUUUCGCAUUUUGUGCUCAUGAGAAUAUAAUAAGAAUAAUAUUGUUCUUUAAAAUAAAAUUUAAUAUAAGGCUUAGCAAUAAUUGUGUGUAAAUCAUGCUGGUGCAUUUUAUUUUUGAGAUGAGUGUUUUUGACCAAAGAUUGAAAAUAUUUCAAACAGAUUUUGAAACAGAUUUAAAAUGGGUUUUGAAAUAAAAGAAGAAAAAAAAGAGAAAGGAAAGAAGACCUCACUCGGCCCACGCUGGCUAGCAACCGGCCCAGCACUCCCCCUCUCCCCCUCACCUCGGCCCGAAGUGCGGCCCGUCUCUUCCCCCUCUGCGCGGCCCAACUCCUCGGCCCAGUCACGCGCAGCUCUUCCCUUGAGCCACUGCUCGCCUGGACCCACGCCUCCGGUCACCGACAGGUGGGCCCCGCAAGUCGGCGUCCUCCUCCAUCUCCUUCCUUGCGCAGUCACCGAGCGGGACACCCCGAUGGCAACCGAUCUCGGAUUCUUCGCGAUUUCCUAGAUCAAGCGCAAAUCGAGCCCCUAUAAAGUUCCUAGCCCAGCCCCACAUGCAUAUUUUCGAUCUAAACGCGUCGGGGAAGCCCCAGACACCAUUGGCGUCGAGAAGCGGAUCUCGCCGAGCUCCAAACCCCAUCGCCGCAGCCACCAGACCUCUCCGCUCUCUCUCGGACCGAACCAAGCACACGGACGAGUUCGGGGUACGCUCCUCCUUCGCUUGGUAUAUUUAUUUCGUUUUCUAGCGCUCGGUUUCGCAAGAACGUCUAUCGCCGGCGAGCUCUGUGGCGGUGUCCAUGGCGCCGCCGCGCCGGAGCCCCACCCUGGCGGCCGGCCACCGCCUGGUUCCCCGUGCAGCGCUCCAAGCCGUCCACCUCUAAUCCAACGCGCCACGUUAGCCGAUACCCUUUCAGCCAGCAUUUUGCUAAAGAGCCCCUUCUGUUUUUAGGAAUAAACGCGCCACCCUUUACGCCUUUGCAGGAAUACGCUAUGUCCUUUUGAAAACGUAAAACCACGGUUUGAUAUGAAAAUACGUUUUCAGGAAAUUACAAGUUUUCUGAGAUGGUUUUGCUCAUAAAAUAUUUGUUUUAACUCCGUUUUUGUCCUUUCAAAUUGCGUUAGAUUCGUCUUCUCGAGAUCUACGUGUUAGUAUCACUGAUCUCUCAGUUUGAAACUUUUUAAUUUCAUAGUACUAUUUAAUUAUUUAUUUAUCUAUAGGAAAUCUUAGAAAAUUCAUAUCUUCUCCGUUUCAACUUCGAUUUUCGUGAUCUUUACGUCUGUGAGAUCGUAGCGCUACGUAGAAUCAUUUUAUAAACUUUUUAUACUAUUUUUACAUGUUUGGUGUACUAUUCUAAUUGUAGCCUUGUUUGUUUCAUGUAUGUUUUCUCCGUUUGUUUGUGUGAUCGAUGAUCUAGAUUAGACGAUAAGCAAUUCGUGGUGAAAACAAGAGUGCUUCAGUGAUCAAGAUCAGAGCCUUGGAUAACUAGCAAGAUCAGCAAGAGCUAUUGGAUCGAGGCAGGUAUAGCAUUUGGAUUUUAUUUCUGUGACCAUGAUCCUGUGACUAGAUUAAUGUUAAGUAAUAAAUGAUGAAAAUGACUUUUUAGCCACUUGAUGAUUUAUCUGUAAGUGAUAACCGGGACAACAGUGCAACCAUGAGGGCUAUAAUGGCUCUGGAUUUAGUUAAGUAUGAGUAAGAGCAUCUCCAAGGGACUUUGCAAAUGAAUUUUGCAUUUGGUGUUGUUUGCAAAGUCCCAAACUCAUUUGCAAAGUCUAAAAAUAGUCUAACUCCAAGGGACUUUGCAUUUAGAAUUUGCAAACCCAAAAUGUGGACCCCACCCUCGAAUUUUUUUUCACCGAUCGCGCCCGCGCGUUUUUCCCUUCGCUCCAUUUUGACGUACGUCGUGCGUGCCAGUUGCCGCCAGGCCAGGUCGCCGCCAGUUGCCGCCCAGCCCAGGUCUUCGCGCCAGUCGCCGCCCAGCCCAGGCCGCGUUCGUCGCCGUCGUCAUUCGUGUCAGUUCGGCUCCGUCCACCUCCGUAGAGAAUCGCGCGGGGUGGGGGGGCGGAGUCCGACGUGGAAGGCCAAAAUUAUAGAUGCAAAGUGGUGGGAAGGUUUGCAUAUAUGCAAAGCCUCAACAUCUAUUUGCAAAGUUAACCAAAUUACAAACCUUAUUUGCAAAACCAUUGGAGGGGUAUUUUCUACUCUUUUUUGCAAAUAGGACAAUGCAAAGUUUAUUUUCAAAGCCCUUGGAGAUGCUUUAACUUUUCUAGCUCGUUAGCGGUUACCCGUUGUGGCGCAAUUGGGGAAUAGCAGACCGUGGAUUCCUACGGGUGAAUCAUAUGGACUGACUAAUGAAACCAAGCGGCCCUAACUUGUUAGAUGAACCUUUGAAAGACUUCAUAGUGAUCCCUGCCGACCUCCCUUGGAAGGGGGUUAAGAGAUUAGCUACCUCGGGCGAAAGGGUAAAUCAUGACUCAUGGGUAAAGAUGUGCAACCUCUGCAGAGGGUUAAAAACUAGUAUACUAGCCGAGCUCACGGUCAGGAGCGGCCUUAGGGAUUCUUGCAUCGACGAUGAUGACUCCUGUUUGUUAAAUAUGCUCAUUAUUAUUGUUUAGUCCUUUACAUUAUUUAUAUCACAUUGAUCAUGAGAUUGUGGGAGCUAUACAAUCUAGUUGCUAUACUUGUGGAGUUCGACAUGGACUCACUCUUGCUAUUUUCCCCAAACCUCAGGAGAAGUUUAGGCUUGUGAUCAACCAGUCAGUUGGAUCCUGUAGAGUGAAGUUAAUACCCAAAGUUGGAGUUGUCUAUCCACUGUUUGCUGCUUAAGGUUAUCUCUGAUUUAUUAUUACGUUAUAUAACUUAUGCAUUGUCUUUUGAUAUUACCCCUUAUUUGUAGCUAUAUGUGAGAUUUGGUCUCUAAAACUCACAUAUGGUGCAUAUCUGGUUUUGUCCUUAAAAUCGGGUAUUACAUACUUGUCCUUUGUUAACAAUCCAAAAUAGAUCAAGUACUUAGGUUCACUAGCUCAUGAACAAACUCAUAUACAUACCACUAGAUCAACUAAUCAUUCAAGCAAUAGUGGUAGGUUAUGAAUUGAAAACUUUUCAUUUGUCAUGCAUGAUCCUAUUAAGCAUGUACUAUAUGCACUAACCGCAUACUAGUAAGGGAUGAAAUGAUCAUGCACAUUACAAUGAUACCUUUGCUAUGUUGGAGAAGAGGAUAGUCACAUAGAUUCCAAAUCAUUUCUCCAAUAGCAAUGUGAAGUCCAAUUGAUAUGCUUGGUGAAGACCAAUCAUAGAUACCAAUUGAUAGAUCAAAUCUUCACCCAUAUGAAUUUAGAACCACUUAUGAUCAAGUGCACUGUCUUGUUGUGGUUGACUUGCUUCAUCUUUUCUUGAUCAUUGCUUGCAUGAGAGAACUAAUAAGAAUACCACUUGAAAUAGCACGACUAGCUCUCUUUUGGGUGUUGCUUGCUUCCUUGAUCAAUCCUUUUGAUUGCUUCAACUAAGCAUCUCAAAUGUCCUUUAGAUCACCACUUCCAUGUUAGCCUUCCAAGCACCACACUUGGUUUACCCACUCGUCGGGCGACACGCCCCUCACAUAGGGAGAAGUGACCUCUCUCUAAAGAACCAUUCUUGACACUCACUUGAAUUGCCUUUGAUUGAUUGAUUCAAGUGAUGGACUUAAUAUGAUGAAUAUCCGUGAACCCUUAUUUAAGUCCUUUUCUUUCUACUUGUUUAAGUUCUUUUUCUUUCUAAAUAAUCUCCAAUAGUUACUAGAACUUAAAUUUUAUCUUCAUCUUUGAGUUUGAUCUUGAUUUUCAACUUGAGUACUAAAAUGUGCACACCAAGUACAUUUCACAAUCAAAUGACCUUAUACUCAUUACUUGUCAUGUUUCUAGAUCAAUUCAAAACCAAACUUAGGUGCCUCAAACACUUAUAAUCAUGUUUCCAACUUGAGGACCUUUCAAUUGAAGUGACUCUAAUCCAAUAAUUGUCACUUGUCUGGCAGAUUCUGUACCCUUUAAAGAAAUAUCCAUAUCUCCCAAUGUACAGAUCUAAAUACCAUGAAAUUUGUUGGAGAUGUGCUUCACUAAACUAUCUAGCAGCUGUAAAAAUUUGAGCUUCAUUUGACUUCUAGAUUGCUACCAGAUUUCAAUUCUUCAACCACUGCUACAUGCUGAAAACUGCUGCACUAUAGCUGAUUAGAUCCACUCCAAAACCGAAGUAUCCCUUAUUCAAUUCUCAUGAAAUUUCUACAGCAUCUUCUAUGAUAAGUGCACAGCAUGCAUACCAAAUUUCAAGUCAUUCCAAUAAGGUUUGAUCACUCAAACUUAGACUUGAUCACUGCUAGCUCAGAUUUUCAAUAUUUAGACAGAUUUCAAGCAAUUGAGCUAUGCUUGUUCAAAUUGAAUCAAACUUGAAAUCAACUUUAUUGAAUACUUUCACAAGACAUAUAUCCAUUCAAUCCACUUACUAAGUGUCAUCUUAUGAACUUAUUCAACUCAAAUCACUCCAAACUUGAUUACUAAGCAUUUAUCCAUUCAAACACCUUAUAGCAAGCAACAUUGCAUAUAUAUCCAAUUCAAUCAACUCAUAUGCACCCAAAUGAAUGUGAUCAACAAAUAUAUACCUUGGUUAGCUCAUGAUCAUCUAAUUUGCAAGCUUCAACUCAUGUAUUUGCAAGCCAUCAAAUGAUCCAAUAAAAUACCACAACUUGAAUAUUUGCACUUGUAUGUUGUAGCACUUGGACUUCACUAUCUUGUCAUGGCAUUGGGUUUGGAUGUGCACUAAGCUUCAAUACUUGAUUCAAUCAUAUGAUGAAUAAUAUAAUAUCAAUUGAAUCAAGCAUCCAAUGCUGAUGGUACCUACACACAUUCAUCCACUUUUUGAUGGUACCCAAACUAGUUUGGGUCCUCUCAAGUUAGGUGCAACAUACUUAGGCGAUGCCUUAGUAUGAGUAGCGGGAUGUUUUGCAAUAGCAACCAUAGAGGUACCAUUACAAUCCUUUCUAAGCAUAGUAUUAUCAUCAAUUGAAAUAGGCUUAGGAUUAUUACCUAAGGGACAUGAAUGAGCCAUGUGUCCCCUUUCCCGGCAUAAGUAGCAACUUCUUUUGGAUUGAGCCUUUUCUUCCUUGCUCAUGUGUUGCUUCUCACACUACAAGAAUUCUGGACUUCUGUGACAGUUAGAUUGUGACGAUAACAACCUGUUUCCUGUCACUGCCUACCUACAGUGAUGAAGUGGUUGUCGUCACAGAAGGUGGGUCACUAAUCAACUUCUAUGACGACUAGAGGACAUCAUCAUUGAUAUAGUGACGUUAGUUCUUCUGUUAUUAAUACAAUGACGAUACUAAACUCGUCACAACAUAUUGAAUAGAAUAGGGCCUUGGGCCAUUUAGUUUUUAGUGUUCUUUGAGCCCAUGUUUUCUUUUCCAAAUCAGUCCAUUUACUCAAAUUAACUAGACUUUUUUUUGCAGCAGCAUUAAUUAGAUUUUCAGCCCAUAGCCCCACAAAUUCACAUGUUGGGCCUGACUAUUGUUUCGUCAGCCCAUUAGCAUUUAGAAACAUAGACAUUGCAGAAAUAUAUUUUUUAACAGUAUAUGAUAACAUCGAUUACAUAGGAAAGUAUAUCAUAUUCUCUGCCAUCAUCCAAGACAUGAAACUAACAUCAGCUAUAACUUGCUACAAUUACAAAAUGCUAGCAGCAAGCUAUGCUGCACGAAUGCACGCUUCACUUGGCUCAUGAAAAUUUCAUGUCACUUGUAGCAGUCUUCUUCACCAUGAUCUCUACACUGUAAAUUUGAAUUUGGGACCUCAAUGUUCCUGUGAAGUGGAUCAACUAGAAUUAGAGAUCUGUACUCGUACACAUGGAAUUAGUCAUGUAGAACAAUAGAAUUCAUACGAAACUACAAACUUCACAUGCCAGUAGUUGAUAGUGGCAACUACCUUUUUAAUAUAAUGGAAAAAUAGAUCCAGCCUUAAACUAGUGGGAGAUGUAUUAUUUGUGAAUAAUAUAGAUCACCACCUUGUUAAAAAUAUAUAAAAAUUUAAUGUAAUGCUUAUAUACCAAAAACAUACUAUCAUACAAGUUUAUAUAUUUUUCUAACCAAGUUUGUGUAUUAUUAUAUUGAUUCAAUGGUAAUUCAAUAAAUAAUUAAUAAAUUUGGUCAGAAAAUUCUUUAAAUUGACACAACAAUAUAUUUUGGAUCUAUAAGCAUUGCGUAAAAAUUUCACAUAAUUUUAAUAAAAUAGGACUAUACACCUUCACGUGUAGAACCAUCUUUCACUUAGUCACGUAACAGAGUGUGAGAUUUAUCUACUUUGGUAGAGUAAAUGAUUUUGGGAUAGUAAACGAUUUUAAAUGAAAAUGUUAUCAAGAACAAAUUUGUAGAAAUUAUCCAAAUUUACAAUUUUUGUUUUAGACAUUUCUAAGAAAAAGUUAUUUUGACUUUCACAACGUGCCUUCUUUGUUAACUUGAUAAUGUUAAAAACUUUUGUUUUAGUCAUUUCUCCACCUAACUUUGUUUGAAUAAAUUUUAAAAAAAUAGUAAGAAUAUAGUGAAAUGAUGUAUCAUGAUUUAGAGAUUGUUUACACCUUUCUUCAGGAUGUCAUCGGCUCAUUGCGUUCUAAGAUUUGCGUCUUUGAGAUUGUUGACGCCCUUGAUGGAAAGAAAAAUAAAAUAGAAAAGUAAUUUCUACGUGUGUGAAAUAUAGUAAAGAUGGAAAAUAAAGUGGAAGAGUAAUUUAUGCAUGCAGAUAUUGCUUGAUGAUUUUCCCCUCCAUCCAAUUAUGAGGACAAAUAAAUUUAGAUAGCACUACAAGACACACACUUAAUGUUGUUUUAGGGGCUAGCUCACACACUUUAAGGGCAAGAGGGUGCAAGUUUGAUUCCCUUGGACCCCUAUUUUUUUGAUUAUUUUUCCCCCACCAUCCAGGCGGCAUAUAGAAGUCAUCACAACGCUUAAAUAACAAGGUUCAAGACCCAAAGCCACAUUUUCUACGCCAGAUUUUCUUUUUUUUUUAUGUUUUUUCCUUCACCAUCCAGGCGGCAUAUAGAAGUCAUCACAACGCUUAAAUAACAAGUUUCAAGACCCAAAGCCACAUUUUCUACGCCAAAUUUUCUUUUUUUAUGUUUUUUCCUUCCAUCCAGACUCUGCCGGCCAAAUAAAUUCAAAAUGCUCCAGCGGGUACCAUAAAUGAUGGUCCAUUUGGUUUACUCAUGUAGUUUACCAUAGCAGGUGGUCAUGUGUUCAAAGCCCAUCUAAAUGCCAAACAUUUGAUGAUUUUUUUUUUGUUUUUUUUUGAAAAUUUUCCCAUUGGUUCUUUGAAUUUUUUUUCCUUUAAUCCUAACAUGAGACUUGGAGCAGACGUGGAUGGAAAAGUUCACCUAGGACACAUGAUGUGUGGGCCAGCAGCCAUGUAGAAUAAGAAAAUAUCGUUUAAAAAAUUAGUCCUAUAUUUUAUGACAAUCAACUAUUGUCAUGAUCUAUCAUAGCAAAAGCCAUGCUGAAUAUACUGUGACGAAGUUUAUGACGAACAUAUAGCUUGGUCACAAACAGUUGUCAUCCUGUCAACAAUUGUCAUAAAUAGCCUCUGUCUAUGACAAAUAGAUGCUCUGUCAUCUAGCAGUCGUCAUAGAAGCCUAGAUUUCUUGUAGUGUCAUUGCCUUGCCUCUUGAGAGUUGCUUGAGCCUUCUUCUCAAGCUUGGUAGGACACUUCGAGGCAAAGUGUCCAUCAUUCUUGCACUCAAGACACAUGAUGUGAGCAUAAGCUUUCUUCUUGUCUUGAUUCUUGCUCAUCAUCUUGGCAUCUUGGAUUUGCAUUGGAUGCCUUGCUCUUCCACCCCUUCUUGUAUUCUUCUUCUUCAUAAUCAAGUCAUCACCAUCAUGGUAGAUCUUGACUUGAGCUUGGGGUGUCUUUUCUUGCUCAACUUGUGGCUUUGGUUAAGGCUUUACUUGUUGCUUCACCAAUUGCUUGGUUGGGCACAUUGAGGUGAGAUGACCCCAAGUGCGACACUUGAAGCACUUGACAUGCUUUAGCCUCUCUUCUUCUUUUAUAUUCUUGAGCUUCUCUUUGUUUGGGCAACCAUUGGCAAGAUGUCCCACUUCAUGGCACCGAUAGCACACGAAAUGAGAAAGCUUCCUCUUUUCUUGCUUUCUUUUGCCCUUUGUCAUCUUCUUCUUGAAGCCAAGGCCACACUUGUCACCAUAGUUUCUUUGAGUCUUCAAUAUAUGCUCAAAGGUGACUUUUGAGUAGUAGCACCUCUCUAGCUUGUUGCUCAAAUUCUUCACUUCAUUUUUGAGCUCAUUGUUCUCCUUCAAAAUGUUAGUCUCACAAGACAUAGAAGUAGAACAAGCAUCUAAAUGUGAAGAACAUGGCAUAGAUAAUAAGUCAUUACAAGAGGUGGAUACAUGCUUCUUGCCUACAUCACAAGGGUUAGUAACACUAUGUGAUUGAUCAUUUGACCCAAGUAAUGAGCUCUCACUAGUUUUAAUUUCUUCAUAGGAAAUCUUCUUAGUGAGUAAAGCAUGGUCUUGUACCAAGUUAUCAUGAGCAACACAAAGUUCCUCAUGAACCAAUUUUAGCUCCUCAUGUGAACAAGUAGUAACAUAAAGUAGAUGCUUUUGUUGUUCACAUGUGGUCUUUAGAAUUCAAUUUACUUGUUUUUGCCAUCUCAUUUCUUAAAGCUUUAGUGAGUCUAUAUACAAGCUCAAAAUUUGGAUCAUCACAAUCAACAAUCACACCUCCAAUAGAUACCUUGUCGUCGCCGUGAGACAUGGAGGAAUGUGAUGAAGUGGAAGAGCUUGUAGAAGCAUCACUCUCAUAGCCAUCAUCUUCAUCUUCACUUGACCAUGAGGUGGAGCAAUCCUCCACAACCACCUUGUUGUGGUCAUGCUCAACAUCCUCAUGUAUCUCCACCUUUGGUUCCUCCUUUUUGAACUUGCCAUCAUCCCAUGAGGAGGAAUCACCGAAGGUGUGUUUGAUAGACUCCCACAUUUCAUAUGCGGUUCCUUUGGAGUUUAUCCUAUCAAACAACUCAAAGCUCAAAGAUUUCAUUAGAUAACAAUAAGCUUCACAAUCAAGUUCAAAGAGAACCUUUUGAGCUUUGGUGAGAUUCUUAUGGUCCAAGUUGUGUGUGAGACCAUUAGUGACAAUCCACCAAAAUUUAGGUCCCUUUGCAUGAAAAUGAUCAAGCAUGUGAUUUUUCCAAAGUGCAAAGUUUGUACCAUAAAAAAUGUGUGUCUCACAAUCAUCUAUCCCACUAGACGCCAUCCUCUCGGGUCGGUGAAGACCACAAAUGAGAGACCUAGCUCUGAUACCACAUGAAGGGUCGAGAUGGCGGACUAAAGGGGGGUGAAUAGUCCUUUCUAAAACUUAUCGCGUCGGCUAACCGAAACAAAUGUGGAAUUAAAAGUAUCGGUCUAGCCAAGACUACACCCCUCUAUCUAAGUUCUCUAGCACCUUGUAAAAGAUCCUAAACAAGCAAACAAGGUGCUACCUUAGCAAGAGCUCACCUAACCAAUUCUAGAAGCAAGGUCACACAAACCUAUGCCACUAGUACUUUGCAAACCGAGGAGCUCCUACACAACUAGUAAGCAAAAGCACAAAGCUCCUAAGCUCACUAGCAAAGCUCAAUAACAAGGCAACCAAUGCCAAAUUAGAGAGUGCAAAAUACUUAGCUACACAAACUAAGCAAAGUAACUAACAAGGUUACACAAACCAAAUUAGUCACGCAAGGGGAACUACUUCUAGCUACACAAGCAAGAAGGUAACUAGCAAGCUACACAAGCUAACUAAUUACAAGAGCAACUACACAAGUACAAACAAUAGAGUUGCUCUUCGCGAUCCCCGCGGGGUGAGCACCGUACCCCUCACAAUCUCUUCUCCGGAGCACCGCACAAUCUCCUUGCGUGCUUCGACGGAGUCACAAGCCACCAAGCCGUCUAGGAGGUGGCAACCUCCAAGAGUAACAAGCACCACCAGCUUGCAACACUAACACCUAGUGCCACUCGAUGCAAUCUCUCAAUGCAACGCACUAGAAUCACUCACUCGCUAUUGAUUCGCACUCUUGCAAGCACAAGUGAGUUAGAGGCUUUACUAGCACUCUCCAAGCAUGGACACUAAGUUCGAAGGGUGCUCAGCACCAGCCAAGGCCAGUCACAACUUCUAUUUAUAGCCCUAAGGGCUAAACUAGCCGUUGCCCCUUCACUGGGCAAAACACGUGGGCACCGGACGCUCACAGGGAGCCACCGGACGCUCAAACCUCAGCGUCCGGUGCUCCGGCGUCAGCCACGUGUCACUAGCCGUUUGAACUCGACCGUUGCCGCCAACGGCUACCACGCGCUUGCGCCUGACACAGCACCACCGGACGCUCAACUAGUCCACACCAGACGCGUCCGGUGCACACCGGACCCGUGCGCAGAGAGCUCCGCAAACUCGCACGGUCACCGGACGCAAGCCACCAGACGCACCCUGAGCGUCCAGUGCUCACCGGUCAGAAACUCCUCGCGCGCACUCGCUGACGUCACGCACCACCAGACGCUCGAAAAGUAACCGCCCAGCGUCCGGUGCCAGCGUCCGGUGCGCUCUGCACACCUGAGCCACAAACUGACACCACACCGGAUGCUCUGGACCAGCGUCCGGUGCUGCCACCACCAGCGUCCGGCGUGACUUCUCCAAACUUCCCACCGGCACAAUAGAAAAAAUGCACUCCAUUUUCUCGAAAAGCGCCGAAUCCCGCCUUGCAAGCUCGGCGGGAGGGAGAGAGGAACCCACAACCCUCUCAACCCUAGGAACUCCACCUCCUUUUUAAAUGUGCCAAUACCACCAAGUGUACACCACCAAGCUAGUGCAAGUGUGUUAGCAUUUUCACAAACAUUUUUCCCAAAGGAGUUAGCCUCUCAAACUUGCCACGCCACUCGAUCCUAACACGUAUGCAAAGUUAGAUCGCUCAAGUGGCGCUAGAUGACCGAUAUGCAAACAAGUUUGCCCCUCUUGAUAGUAUGGCCAUCUAUCCUAAAUCUGGUCAUAAACUUCUCAACACAACUAUGACCGGUGAAAUGGAAAAGCCCUAGGUUAUACCUUUGCCUUGCACAUUCCAUUCCAUCUCCUCCAAUGUUGAUGCAACACAUGCACCAACCUAUCACCAAAUGAUAUGAUCCACUUCAUAUCAUCACGUGACCAUAUUGGUUCAUCGAUCUUGACCUCACUUGCUCUUCACCGUUGCCUCGGUCCAUUUGCGCCAAGUCUUGCUCAAGCUUCACCGUCACACGUGGUCCCUCGCUUCAAAGCCUCCAACUUGCCCUUCACUCUUGCAACUGGUCCAUCAAGCCAAGCCUCAUCUUAAUCUUCUCCACCUUGGUCACAUGACUCCAUGUCAUGUCUCAUAUGCAAUGAGCUCCUCCAUCAUCAUAUCAUCACCUGUGGACUAAUCUCCUGUGUAUCUCACAUAAACACUAUUAGUCUACCUAAGUUGUCACUCAAUUACCAAAACCAAACAAGGACCUUUCACCCGCCCUAAGGACCAGGGCGCCCGCCCACCUAUAGUGUCCAAUCUGGACCCGUUUCACGGAUCAUGCUCCACCAACCUAAAGGAUCAAGGAAAACCAUGCGAUUAAUGUCGGUUUGAUCCGACGGCCCAGAUUCAUCUGAAAAGACUAUAUAAGCAAGGCCCCCUGGCCCCUAGAGAGCAUACAUCUUCUACAGAAUCAAAGCUAGGGUUUCAAUUCUUCAUCCAAGUAGAGAGGAUCCCUCUACUUCAUCUAGUUCUAGUUCUAGUUCCUCUAGUUCUAGUUCUAGUUAGUUCUAGUUGUAAUCUAGAAAAUAGGGAGAGAGAAGAGGAGAGCGGAAGAGGAGCCGGAUCUGUCGGAUCUUCCUCAACAUUAUACUUUUGCUGCAACUGGUUCGUUCUUCAUCGUUCUCCAAGUUCUUCAAUUCAUAAUUCCUGAGUUCUUUAAUUACUUUUAUUUACAUUCAAGUUAUUUAUUGGAUUCCCGCUUGCAUCAAGUGCUCUAGUCUUUAUAACGCUAGAGUAGUAAUUAAUAGAUUAGCCGUGGUGUUUAGUCUUGCAAUUACCUGGAAUUGCACCCAAUCCUGCGGAUUGUUGUGGUAGCCCUAGGGUAGUGACAGCCCUAACGGUCGAUGUAUUCCACCCCGUUCAGAUUGGUGUUUGUAGGACCGUAGUCAGAGCUUCCUAUCCCCCUUCUCAUCUCUUUCUGUGGUUAGUGUUCUGAUGUCCCAAAAUAAAUAAUCUUUGAAGUAAUUCUUGAUUCUUAGAUCAACUAGAGAACUCUCAGGAAACUUCCUCUCUUCCCACCAAAAAUAAUUAUAUAGUUAUCCUUGGGCGAUCUUGAAUCUUAAUUAGUACACUCACGUUCCCUGUGGAAAUUCGAUACUCUGGAAUACUCUUGGGUGAAGGCUACAUCGGUAUCCGUGCGCUUGCGGAUUUUUCUGUUUGCGUUUAAAAUACCCAACAGAUGGCAUUUUAACCUAAGCACCAUGGUUAAUUUAAAAUCCCUUGGAAGUAAGAUCAUCAUUCCUAAACUAAGCACCAUGCUUAUUUAAGAGAUAAAUGAAACUACUCCAAACCUAGACAUAUACUAAAGCAAAUAAAGGUAGCAUGAGAGUAUUUAUAGAGAUCUACUCAAGUGGAGAUGUAGUGUGAUUAGUAUUUAACAAAUUGAGCAUGUCUCAAAGGUAGGGACAACCAACAUAGCAACAUGGCAAAGGAUGUUUUUAUGUAAAGUACUCCCCCAAGCUUGAAUUUUGCAAAAUUCAAGUUUGGAUGAAUUUAAUUCAAUGUUGUAUGAUGAUUGGUUGGACAUACCUUGUGUUUGUCAUUCAUCCGAUCUUCUUGCUCCAAUCCUAGAAAGGUUAGUGACAAGAAUACCCGAAGGAAUAUUUUUACAAUUAUCCUUAUAUGCUCAAUACACAAGGUAAUGUUUCAAAAAAUUAAAAGCUCAUGUUACGAUCUGAUUAGUGCUUAUUUUAGGACACUAAGCUUGUCCUUGGGAAACCAUCAAUUUAUGUCGGCGAGUGGUUUCCCCUCCAACGCUGACCUAUAUCAAGAUCAACUCAACGAGAUUUGCAAUAUUUAUUAUAGACAUAUGCAUCGACAACCGCCCUUUUAAAGUUUUUAUAAAUAGAAACGAAGAGGGGGUUGGAGAUCUCAAAUGUGGUGAUGUUGGAGAGACCAAUAGAUUGGGAAGAUGUUGCAUAUGAGCAUGGAGUAAACGAAGUGGCUAUGAAAUAAAUUCCAUGCUCAUUAAUGUUAUCUUUGUCUCCAAUCUGAAUGUUCUAAAGUUUCUCCUGUAUUGGUCUCGCCUAUGUCCUCUUCUGUAGUUGGAUGAAUCUCAUCUUCAAAGGGAGUCAAGAACUCACCAUUUGAAAUUGAGCCAAAGUCAGAAUCCAUUAAGGCUUCUUCCUUGUCCAUCCAUUGUACACAUUCUAGCCAUUUAGAACUUGUGAUCAGGAAAGGGGAGGUGUUAGAAUUUUCUAUAUGGCUUAGCUCUCCUUCUAUGACAUUACUUGGCAUGUCAUCCUCAUGGUCUUUAUGACUCCUAUGGUUUGAUCGUCUUGAUGGAUUGCUAGGAUCAUCAUGAGACUGAAAAGGAGAGGGAUAAGAGGGGUCUCUAAGGUCAAGGAUGAAUUUAGAAUUUGUGAACAUGGAAGGGGAGCAGAUAGAAUCUUCUAUAUGGUUUAGCUCUCCUUCACUUGACAUGUCAUCCUCAACUUCUUCAUAAUAGGAACCAAGACAUUCUCUAAGAGAACCAUUAUUGUAUGGAUUUGAAUUAUCCCUGCUUGAAGGUCUCUUAUGGAACCAGAAGUCUAAACCAUCAGCAUCUGAAAGAUUUAAGGUCAGAAUUCCUUCCUCCCUUGGAGAAUUUUGAGGUAUUGAUGGUUUAGGAUCGAUAGCUAAAGUUUGGGAUUGAAGUGGUUGUAAUUUGGCUAUCGAAACUUCCUCUUCUUGUCUAGGAACUGAUUCUUUCUCUUUCUCAAGGAUAUAAAUGCGAGGAGACUUUUCGCUCACUAAAUCAAUCAAAUUCCAAGCUUCACUAGUGUACAGGCACUGGAAGGAUCCUCCAGAGGCCACAUUAAGGGUUUGCUUAUUUUCCCUACUAAGGCCCUUAGAAAAGUGAAUUAGAAGAACUUCUUCUGGAAUAGAAAGAUUUGGGCCAGUGAGAGUAAGGUCAAUAAAGCGGUCCUAUGAUUCACCAAGAGAUUCUUCUUCUAGUUGUCUAAAAGAAAGAAUCUCGAUCCGAAGGUCCAUCACUUUGGAGAUUGAGAAAUAUUUUAGACAAAAAUUAUUGGAUAGCACCUUCCAAUCUCCGUGAGCACUUCCUACAUUGAGUUUAUACCAAUGUUUAGCUUUUCCCGUUAAAGAGAACGGAAAGAGCUUCCAUUUAAGGGUCUCAUCAGACAUGCCUUCUAUGCGAAGGAGGUCACAGAUUCAUCCAAACUCUUCGAGGUGUGUGUAUGGGUUUUCCUCAGCUUUUCCUGAGAAAGGUUGUUUUUGAAGAAAUUCUAUGUAUUCCGGGCUUAUCUCAAAACUAGAUGUCAUGAUAGGCUUUGAAGAUUUUGGUGGUUCGAGAUAUGUGCCCGUAGGUCUAUGACACUGAUAGAUAGACAUGUUUGCAUUCAUGAUAGACCAGAGAUAAAGGAUUAGAUAAGAAGAAAUAAUAGCAGAGAUGAGGCAAAGGAUAGAAGGAAAAAUAUAUUAUAUUUUCUUUUUUUAUUUUUAGAAAAAUGAUUAAGCUAGUUCGUAGUCAACUCAAGAACCGUCUCCCAAGCAACGGCGCCAAAAAGCUUGUUGACACUUGCUAACACCACUUGAAUACUAGGUUGUCAUCCCCAGCAUGGCACUAGAGUGUACUAUGGUAUUUAUAUGCACACAGAUAAAUCCGCAAGCGCAUGGAUACCGUUGUAGCUUUUACCCGGUUAAAGGUUUUAUCAUAUCCACAGGGAAACGGGAGAACCAACUACGCUCUAACUUAACCAAGAUAGAUAGAUAGGUGUAAAUAUGAAAGAUGGUAGAAUUGAAUAAGAACAAUAUUAAAGGUAAAAUGAUAAUGGGGGAAUAUAGAGUAGACCAAUCUAAUAUAUGGGCGAGAAUAGGAGAAUAGAGAGGAUAACUAGAGUUUCUCUACUUCAAAGGGGUAUGUGUGUCUGUGGCGUACCAUAAGUAUAAAACAACACAGAGGAUGCUUAUACCUAAGGUGGAGGACUCCUACCAGUCCUGCUAACGGGAGGUGGACUACAGAGGACCAUGUAGCUGUCACCUACGCAGCCUACCACUCGAUCCAACUAACAGGGGAUAUCCACAAGUAAUCUAGGCCUAAGCACCAUGCUUACACCUAUACUACAACUCUCACCUAUAGCGUCCUAUAGAUUAAAGUACUCAAAAGAGUUAUGAACCAAAACAUACAUGGACAGUAAUUGUGUAAUAAAAUAAGAAGUAGAUUACCAGAGUCAUCCCAUGAGCAAGCUUGAUUAGAGCUUGAUCAUGGCGAAGUACAAACGGAGGAAGAACUGACAGGUCGGCCUCUCCUCCAAUCCUCCCUCGCUCUCCAUCUCGCUACUAUCUAGAUCUACUAUAGUUCAGAGAAGAGAGGAGAGCUCUCAUCUCCAAACCCUAGCUUUUGCUCUGUCUAUGAAUAAUGAAUAGGGGAUGUAGAGGUGUCUUCUCUAGGGGCCAGGGGGGCUGCUUAUAUAGCCCUUCCAAAUGAACGUGGGUCAUUGGAUCAAACCGACCUUAAUCGCACGGUUUUCCUUAAUCCCUUUGGUCCGUGCAGCAUGAUCCGCGAGGCGGGGCCUGAUUGGCCGAGACACUUGGGUGGGCGCCCAAGGGGGGAGGGCGGGCGCCCUGUCCCCGGGCCCGCUCGGCCUCCCGUUCGUUUCCGUGGCUUCUGGACUCUUCUAGAUGAUACAAAAUUGGCGCACACGUUAAUAUCUCUAUGUAAACCCAUUGUGUGGGCCUUUCCUCCAUAUUUCCUGAUAACCCCCUGCAGAAAUAGACAAACACCAAAACUCGUGGAAUUCUGUCACAUAAAACCCUAAGUCUGUGUGUUGUUUGCAUUUGGAUCUUUUUCUUUAUUUAUUUGAUGAUUAAAUUUGAUACUUAAGGAGCGUCAACACCAAUUGCGAUCUCCCAUGGGGAAGGCUCAAGAACCCCUCACAAAUCACUUGGUGAGGCUCGAAACAAUCUCCAAUCACGAGCUCAACACCUACGCUGCUCUAAGUCAUCUACGGCGUUUGGAAAUACCCAAGAGUAACAAGAAAUAUGUAGCAAACUCAGGAGUCAAGUGCCACUAGAUGCAACUCACUAAGCAAUGCACUUGAAUCUCACUCAAUCUCACUAGGAUUAGCAAUCAAAUAAGGAGAUGAGUGGAGGGAGUGUUCUCUAGCUCAAAGUAUGUCUCAAGUAAUCAAAAGUGCAAGAGCUAGCCCCCCAAGGUCGGUCACCUUCUAUUUAUAAGCCCCCUCAACAAAUAGAGCCGUUGGCCCUUUUACUAGGCAAGAGUCAGGGUCACCGAACGCAUAGCAGGGAGCCAUCCGACACUGGAAGCCUACGUCCGGUGCACAGAUGUCGGCCAUGUGUCACCCUUUUGAAAAACGUGUGUCGAUCUCUAACGGUUACUUUCAAACCACCGGACGUGGUUAAGUUUCCACUGGAUGCAUCCGGUACACAGAGGACCCGUACACAGAGAGGGUGUUUUUCGUGUGUGAUCACCGAAUGCGAGCCACUGGACGCUCUCCUACGUCCGAUGUCGUGAGCACUUCUGUAGUGAACCACCAGACACACAACACUGAACUCGCUCGCGUUAUUGUGUGUGUGUCCGGUGAGUACACCCAGCAAGUGCCACUCACCAGACGCUUAGAGCGUGUCUGAUGCAGCGUCUGAUGCUACAUAUGAUGUCUCUAAGGAUAGCGUUCCACACCCGUGACUACUCCAAAUUUUCCACCAGCGCAAUAGAAAAUAUGUGUUUCAUUUUCUCAAAAGCACUAAAUCCACCCAAACCCCUCUCUACCCUUCAAACUCCACCUCCUUCUUAAAGUGUGACAACACCACCAUGUGUGUACCAACACGUGCAAGUGUGUUAGCAUUUGCACAAUCAUUUUCUUCGAAGGAGUCAAGUUAGCUCACUAGGUUCUAAAUGCAUGCACCUAAAUAAUGACACCUAGUGGCACUCGAUAACCGCUUAGCCAAAGAAUUCCCCUCUUUAUAGUAUGGCUAUCUAUCCUAAAUGUGAUCACACCCUCUAUGGUGUCUUGAUCACCAAAACUAAAACCCUAAGCAAUACCUUUGCCUUGAUCUCCAUAGGGUGUUGUUUUUCUCUUUCUUCUUUUCCAAGUUGAGCAUUUCAUCAUCUUGUGGUCAUCACCAUCAUCACCAUGACUAUCACUAGCUCCAUCACUUGGCAUGUACCAACCUCAUUAAGUCUACACACACUUAGUUUAGAGGUUAGUACUAGGGUUUCAUCAAUUAUCCAAAACCAAACUAGGGCUUUCAAUAAUGCUACUUCUAGGUAGAGGUUUGUGUCCUAGGCAAAAGCAAGCAAUUCGAUUCUAGGAAAGUAAACAACACAAAGUAAGUGUAAUAAUUGAAAUCAAUUCAAGAUAUACCACACAAGAUGUAUUUUUGUGGUAUUGGUGACUUGUCUGUCAUCCUUAAUCCAUGUUGAGGUGAGCUCUUGGCUCAUCGCUCUUCUAUCAAGUUUCCAACCAAGCAAGAUUGUCUCCGUACCUUAAGCUCUUGAUCUUGAGCUUGAUAAAACAACAGUAAGCUACACAAUACUAUAGGGGCUAGUAUAUAUUAAAAACACAAGUCGUAUGUGACCUAGAUUUAUGACAUGUGGUUAUACGAAACCGACCCCCUCUCUACCCUAGGAACCCCACGUCCUUUGCAAAUGUGCUAACUCCACCAAGUGUACACCACUAUGUGUGUCAACGAAAGCUGGUCGGCAGUCUACCUUGGGGUAUACCCACGGUAGUAGUUUAUCGGUAGAUGGUGCGCAAGCUACGAACUUGAUGGUGACGCAUGACACAGACAAGGUUUUUAUCCAGGUUCGGCCACCGUGUGGGCGUAAUACCUACGUCCUGUGUCUGAUUGUAUUGGAUUGUGUUGAGAUCAUAAUGCGUGACCUGUCCUCUAGGGAACCCCUGCCCCUCCUUAUAUAUCGUGAAGGGACAGAGUUAUAAGUCAACUAUCCUAUUUGGUACAAUAUCUUGUAGCCUUGCGGUGCACGCCAACCAGCGUCGUGCGCCGCACGUCUUCAUCUUGUGGGCCGAGCCACGUCUGAUGGUGCGGCCCAUAUAGGCCCAUGAGGGUAUAGGGGUUUAUACCCCCACAGCUAGUCCCCGAGCACCAUGUAUUGUGAUGUAACACGCCGUCUUGAGCUUCUUCGAUCAGUGAGGCUUGACGUCUUCAAUAAGCAGGAAAGUCGCCCAAACAGUUGCAACGGUAUUUUAACCAACUCAAAAGACAGUUGAUCAACAUUGACAUCGAAGAAGCAGAAUGUUCGAAGAAUGCAUGGUACUCUUAAUUAAAAAAGAUUUCUUUCCUGGUGAAGUGUUCCCACUUUACUUUUCUGAAAAGUAUAGACCUAAAAAAAGCAAGCAUAUUCACCGCAAGGUGAAGUGUGCCCACUUAGUCCCCGAGCCUGGUAGUAGGUGACGUAGGCACGUGGUGCCAGGGUCUAAAAGGAAAAAACCACAUAGAAAAUCUGAUACUGAAAUGCAUCGCCAGAUGCAUCGUACCGAUGUAGUCCCCGAGCUUGCUGGAAGGCGAAGUAUGAGCCUUGUAGCAAGGUCUAAAAUUAUCCAUAACUGAGAAAAGCAAUCCCCAAGCUGUGGUCGGCGAGUAAUCGAAGCAAGUCUCGAGCACAGUGCAGGGAGUGAUUGAUGAGUCCCCGAGUAUGGUUGAGAAUGUAAUCGUGCUCGGUGGUCAGCACAGUCCCCGAGCACGGCAUAGAGACUGGUCGACCAGUCCCCGAGCAUGGUUGGGAACGUAAACGUGCUCGGUGGUCGGCACAGUCGCCGAGCACGGUGUAGGAACUGGUGGACAAGUCCCCGAGCAUGGUUGAGAACGUAAACGUGCUCGGUGGUCAGCACAGUCUUCGAGCACAGCGUAGAGACUAGUCGACAAGUCCCCGAGCGUGGUUGGGAACGUAAACGUGCUCGGUGGUCGGAGCAGUCCCCGGGCAUAGCGUAGGGAAUAGUCGACGAGUCCCCGAGCGUAGCUUGUCGACUAGGUCAAACUCCAGAAAAAUAAAUAUAGAGAAUAGGUAGUACAUGAUGUAUAAAUAAACUUUAGAUAAAAAAUCAGCACUGAGAUAAGUUUUAGAUUUUUUAUUAUAAAAUUAGCGCGAGUAGUUAAUUCAUCCUAGAGCUUAUACCAGCUCUGGUCUAGCCAACAAUCAGCAUGAGGUGCGGAACCUAGGCACGCGUAGGAUUGCUAGCCUCACCAGAGAGCUACUGCCGACCACCCGGAACGCAGAGAACGGAUCUCACACGUGUAGGGAGGAGUCGGAGACAGUGCCGGCUCUGGAAAACUCGUGUAGGAGAAAAAACUAGUCGACUAACCAAAAAAUUAUUUUAAAAGAUAAUAAAAAAUAUUAUGCCAAAAAUAAAUAAAAUAUUAGAAGUGUACUUAUCUUUAGACGAAAGUCUAGUCGGUGGCGAUAAAAUUGUCUGGACCUCGAGCUUUUCGACUUGUCAUGACGUAGUCGCGGUUGUCGUAGCGUCGUUCUUCGCGGCGAUUAUUAUUGCGACUGAUGGUCACAGCAAGUAGGCCAAACAAUUUGGUCGAUAGUUCGAGCAGGUCGGUGUCGUCGAUCUGCCUCCCUUUGUAGCAGAGAAGCGGCGACGUGUUGUCGGCGUGGUCGAAGACGUUGCUAGUGUGGUCGAAGCCGUAGCCAGCGUAGUUUGAGCUGCAGCCAACGUCGGUGAAGAAGUGAUCGACACAGAUCGGAUCUACGCCUCCUUCGCGGUCGUGGUGGUGAAGCUGUUGAAGCUGACGGUGAAUGUGAAGCCGCCCGCCAUGGCCGCGAAGUCGGGGAUGAUGGCCAUCUUGUUCGUCGGGAGAGCUGUACGCACACCCCCUACCUGGCGCGCCACUGUCGACGAAAGCUGGUCGGCAGUCUACCUUGGGGUAUACCCAUGGUAGUAGUUUAUCGGUAGACGGUGCGCAAGCUACGAACUUGAUGGUGACGCAAGACACAGACAAGGUUCUUAUCCAGGUUCGGCCACCGUGUAAUACCUACGUCCUGUAUCUGAUUGUAUUGGAUUGUGUUGAGAUCAUAAUGCGUGACCUGUCCUCUAGGGAAUCCCAGCCCCUCCUUAUAUAUCGUGAAGGGACAGAGUUACAAGUCAACUAUCCUAUUUGGUACAAUAUCUUGUAGCCUUGCGGUGCACGCCGACCAGCGUCGUGCGCCGCACGUCUUCAUCUUGUCGGCCGAGCCAUCUUUGAUGGUGCGGCACAUAUAGGCCCAUGAGGGUAUAGGGGUUUAUACCCCCACAAUGUGUAGUGCGUUAGCAUUUCAUAAAUAUUUUCAUCAAAGGAGUAGGUUAGCACUUUACUAGAUUCUAAUGCAUAUGCUUAAGAAAUAGACCUAGUAGCACUUAGUUUGAAAGAUGACCGUGAUUUCCUCUCUUGAUAGUCGGCUAUCUAUCCUAAAUUUGGUCAAACGCUUCUCUACUCAACUUAGACUAGCAAAGCAAAACCCUAUGUUUAUAUCUUUACCUUGAUCACUUUACUCCUUGUCUAUCACCAUGAUCUCCACUUCAUGCUUCAUCUCUUUGUAAUCAUGUGGCCACCUUUCCAUGCCACCUUGCACCUUCAUCACAUGUGUUGCUAUGCCUAACUCAAAUCACUUGGACACAAGGCAUUAGCAACUUGGUGUCAUUAAUUACCAAAACCAAACUUGGGCUAUCACAUGUUACAUUUAAUUAAGUGACCGUUCGAGAUCAACCAUUCACGUUUAACUAAUAACACAUGCCAUCAAUCGAGGGCUGCUGGCAAAGCGGCAUCAAGCACUGGGCAUGGUCUGAUGCCUUAGCGUCUACACGUCCAAUGCCCCUAUUUUCAGUGUAGUGAGAGAGCCAGCGACUCUAUAUCUUUGGAAGUCUUAUAAAUACAUGGUGGCUGACUCUUGCGUGUUGCUCUUGGUACUUUUACAUACUUGACAUCCUUGUGAGCCUAAGCAAACACCUCUCGCUCAUCUCCUUCAUAGAUUCACCAUCUUUGUGAGAUUGUGAGUGAUUCAAAGUGCAUUUGUCUAUGUGAUUGCAUCUAGUGGCACUUGGGGAUCGUUGUAGCUGUAGAGUUCUUAUUAAUCUUCAUGGUUACCGCCACCUAGAUGGCUUGGAACAGUGGUGGAGUUAUGGCAAGAGUUGGUGAUUGUUCUUGGCCACCUCCGAUAAUCUUGUGAUGGGUUAUUGUGCCUUCCCUAGUGGAGCACUCGUGGAUUGCACGUGUUAGUGAGCUACCUCACUUGUGGAUAGGUUCUUGCAGUGUCCGACUGUGUGGACAAGGUUCGUGCUACACACCUUAGCCAUCGAACCAUCAAGUGUAGUUGACACAACGAGGACUAGCGUGCCGGUAAGCACGUGAACCUCAAGAGAAAAAUUGUGUGUCUCAAUUCUGAUUGAUUAGCAUUCUCCCCGUGAUUGAUUGGUUCAUAUCUUAGUGAUUGGUUCAUCCCUUACAUGGUGAUAUAAGAUCACAUUCUCUCCCUUUAUAUUUCUGCAAAGUAGUGUAAUUAGUUUUAGUUGCUAGUUUUGCCUUAUGUAGCUUAGUUCACCAGUGUAGCUUGUAGUGACAUAGCUAUUAUGUGCCUAGUGAUCUUAAUAACUAGAAUUGUUGAAUAGGUGACUUACAACCCUUGUAGAGCUCGAGCAAACUUGCAUUAUGCCUUUUAUUAUACUAAUCAUUUGCUCUAGUGCUUUGUAGAUUUUUUAAAUAGGUUGUUCACCCCCUAGCCAUAUUAGGACCUUUCAUGUUUCCUACUCUAUGUCGCAUAUUGUGUUCUCUUCUGUGAUUUAGAUGGAAUUCUAUUUAGUAUAAACAUAGAAGCUUCUAGAGAUGUCCCCAAAAGAACAAUAGAAGACCUAUUUGACUCAUCGUAGACCGAACCAUGUCCAACAAAGUUUGGUUCCUCGGCCUAGGGACCCCAUUCCAAUGAGGCAUGCUAGACGGUGUUAAUUGUGGAACAAUUCCACAUUGUUUUAGAUGUUCACAAAAUUCAUUGCUCAAAUAUUCACUGCCAGGAUCUAAUAAAAAAACUUGAUUGUUUUGCCCAAUUAAUUUUGUACCUUCUUUUGAAAUUCUUUGAACUUUUCAAAUGAUUGAGACCUAUGCCUCAUUAAAAGUGAUGAAGUACUAAAAACCACCUCUAGCCACAUUGAGCUCAUUCAUCCACAUACUCAAUAUGCAUGUACUAGUCCCAACAAGUCAUUUGCCCUCUCACUUUGACUAGUAAAAGGUGCCUUAGUCAUCUUGCCAAAUAAACAUAAUUCACAAGUCUUGAAUGAUUCAAAAUCAAAUGAGUUGAGAAGACCAUUUUUAUGGAACAUCUUAAUGUGCUUCUCAUUUUAUAUGGCAUAAUACCAAAUAAAAGUUAUAAAUAGGUUUAUACUCAAGAUCUAGAACAUACAACCCAUUCAGCGAUGAACAUUGUGCAUAAAGCAUGUUAUUCAAAUAAUCAAAACAUAUUUGUUCCUAUUUAUUAUCUCAUAACCACAAAGCAUGAAGAAGAUAUAAUGUUCUUACCCAAAGCUAGAAUGUAAAAACAAUUAUUUGAUGCCAAAACUAAUCUCAAGGGUAAUGAUAAUAACAAGUAUUUAAUUACAAAACUAAUCUCAAGGGUAAUGAUAAGUGAUUAGUGCUGACAGCCAAUGUAACAACCUUUGCUCAAUUGCCAACACACACAUCUGUCUUGCCUCUUGUAAAACUCCUAAUCCUUAUUAGUCCAUGCAACGAUUUGCUAUUUGCAUGUAUGAAUCAUCGAUCGGACUCCGUUCGCUUGUCUUAUAAGUGGUACUGUUUCUGCCAGCCAACAGUGUUUUUUCUCUUACAAUAAAUCAACGAACAUUAUUUUUAACCAUGGGUUUUCAGACAAGCGAACAGACUCACGUAUCAAAUACCUAAGAUUAUUUGAAGAAGUAGCAAGAUUAAUUUCAAUAACAUUUAUACAUGAAGUAGAUAUACUCCCUCCGUCCCAUUAUACAUAUCGUUCUAGGAGGAGGAGCAAAAACUAAGGUGGAUGAAUAAAGACUGCAUUAGCCAUGAAAGCAAUGUUCAAUGAAGACGACAUGCCUCAUUAAAUGAACUCCUUUCUACUCCUUCGCACUCGUGAGAUUAAAAAAAUAACUAAUUAUAUAGUUUAUUUAUAUUUUACGAGAUAAAUUCGAUGAUUGAACAAUACUUGUCAAAUACAAAUAAAAGUACUAUAAUAUCUAUUUUGUAAAAAAAUUUGCAACUAAAACAAGCCCAUAGUUGACCACACAGACGUGAUGGAUGGAUAGGGUGUUGUACUCUUCAUAGGGCCAGGACCAGCUAUAGGGUGGGUCUACCUACGGCUUGAGGCCUAAUGUUUUGCAAUUUUUUUGAGAUUCUUGUCAUAUCAAAUUUUGCGGCAUAUGCAUGAAACAUUAAAUAUAGAUAAAAAAUAAUUAAUUGUACAAUUUGUCUAUAAUUUGCGAGAUAUUUUUUAAGUAUAGUUAGUUUAUGAUUAGACAAUAUUUGUUUAAUACAAAUAAAAGUGCUACCUUGUUUAUUUUGAAAAAAAUGAAAGACAGUAAUACUUUUGUUUUUUAUGAAGUCGCAGUGAUACGUUUUUUUAUUUUUUUAGAAACAGUCGCUGUGAUAUGUGAAUCCAGAUCCCUCGACUCCUGGCGCGCAUCCGUUGACGUCAGUCACGGAGCACGUCGCGCCAAAGAAGCCCAAGACUGACGCCUGCCCAGCCGUCCUGGUCUCCCGGACGCCGCCACGGCCCACGUCACGCACGAGAGAAGAACCCCCGCGAGGCCCGGCGGCCCCGGGCUGCGUCAACGGCACGGCAGUCCCGGCGCGAGCCCCGGGCGGAUGGAAGUUCCUUGGCAAGAUCGACUGGCCGCGCCGCGGUUCCCGACGCCUCUGGUUCUGGUUGGCAGCCCCGCACCAGCAGUCCAGCACCACGGCUGUACGGCAGAGCUGGAUCCCAAGGCGCGGGGUGCGGGUCGGCGUCAUAUCAUAUGCCUGGCUGCUGGCGCAGUUUCUGGAUGGGAGCAGCGGCAAGCAGGUGAGCACCUGAGCAUCAUCCAUAACACAGCCAAAUAUUUAUAGCUAGGCUUUGUUUUGUUUAGGCUUCACCUAAAAAUUAAAAACUUUUCAAGAUUCUCUUUCGCAUUGAAUUUUACGGCACAUGCAUAGAGCAUUAAAUAUAGAUAAAAAUAAAAACUAAUUGCGCAGUUUGCCUGUAGAUCACGAAAUGAAUCUUUUAAAGCCUAGUUAGGCCUUGUUUAGUUCCAAAAUUUUUUGCAAAAUCGACACUGUAGCACUUUCGUUUGUAUUUGACAAAUAUUGUCCAAUCAUGGACUAACUAGGCUCAAAAGAUUCGUCUCGUCAAUUCCGACCAAACUGUGCAAUUAGUUUUUAUUUUCGUUUACAGUUAAUACUCCAUGCAUGCGUCUAAAGAUUCGAUGUGAUGGGGAAUCUGAAAAAUUUUGCAAAAAAUUUUGGGAACUAAACAAGGCUUACUCUAUGAUUGAACAAUAUUUGCCAAAUAAAAAUAAAAGUGCUAAAAUAUCAAAAUCCAAAAACUUUUUGAAUCUAUACAAGGCCUAAGUUUCACCUUAAAAGCCAAAAAAAAUUCGUCACAUCAAAUUUUGAGGCACAUGCAUGUAGCGUUAAAUAAAGAUAAAAACAAAAAUUAAUUGCACAGUUUGCCUAUAAAUCACGAGACAAAUCUUUUAAGUCUAGUUACUUUAUGAUAAAACAAUGUUUGUCAAAUAAAAAAAAUACUACAGUGUCAAAAUCCAAAAACGUUUUGGAUCUAAACAAAGCCUAAAAUUUACGUUAAAAUCUAAAAACUUUUUAAGAUUCUCCAUCACAUCGAAUUUUACGGAUUAUAUAUAGAUCAUUAAAUAUAGAUAAAAUAAAUAACUAAUUUUAUAGUUUAUCUAUAAUUUGUGAGACGAAUCUUUUGAGCCUAAUUAGUCCAUAAUUAAACCAUAAUUGUCACAUACAAAUGAAGUGCUAUAGUAGUCCGAAAACUUUUUGCAAGAACACUAAACAAGGCCCUAAUAUAAAUCAAGUUAUAAAGUCUAGCUAUAUAAUAAAUUGUCUUCUAUUUAUUUAUAAAUUUUUUAUUAUUAUAUAUUUAUAUUCUCUUUCCUAUUACUCUUAUAUAUUUUUUUUAUUAGGACCCACUAAUGUUUAUGCUUACGCGCCCAGCUUGUUGCUUAUAUUAGAGUCAAGCUCUCUUCUUACAUCAGCAAAAACAUUAAUUAGUUUGGCUAUAAGCCAAUUGUUGUAGUUGCUCUGAGCAAUGUUGAGGGUCAACAAAGGCCCUGUUUAGGCCUCGUUUAGUUCCUAAAAUUUUUUAGGUUGCAGUAUUAUAGCACUUUCGUUUUUAUUUGACAAAUAUUAUUUAAUUAUAGAGUAAUUAGACUCAAAAGAUUCAUCUUAUAAUUUAUAGGCGAACUGUGUAAUUAGUUUUUGUUUUUAUCUAGAUUUAAUGCUCUAUGCAUGUGCCGUAAGAUUCGAUACGACGGUAAUUUUGAAAAGUUUUUUAUUUUUAGGAUAAACUAAACAGACCUGAGUCCUUUUUCUCUUUUCCAGCGACUUUUUCUCGAGUGACCGGCCUUGCCGUGGACGUCCGGUGGGGGAGAGCCACCAUGCAGGUGGUGGUCGGGCCGGCCUAACCUGUGGACUGUGGAGGAGUCCUGUCCUGCUCCCGUGCGACGUUGCCGUGUCACUUUCUCAAUCCGCCCCAGCCCCGAGGACGGGUUGCGACGACCCUCACAUGAGGGCAUGAUCAUUCAUGACAGAGGUCGAGCUGAUAGUAACGGGAUGGUUCAGGCCUUGUUUAGAUACACGCAAAAAAAACUUAAAACUUUACAAGAUUCUCCGUCACAUCGAAUCUUGCGGCACAUGCAUGAAGUAUUAAAUAUAUAUAAAAAGAAUAACUAAUUACACAGUUUACCUGUAAAUCACGAGAAGAAUCUUUUAAGCCUAAUUACUCCAUAAUAAGACAAUGUUUGUCAAAUAAAAACGAAAAUGCUACAGUGUCAAAAUCCAAAAACUUUUUACAUCUAAACAAGGCCUCAGUGUGAGGCCAGUGUCAGUGAUCUGUUUCACUGCACUGUUUUUAAAAUAAAUCCGCUCAUAGAGCAUCAAUGAAACGAAUAAUAAAAUAAUCUUCUCAAUGUAUGAGUUUCACUUUGUUGUUUCCUAAGCUGGGUAAAUCAUUUAAUUACUGUAAAAUGAUUGGAUCACAUGCAAGAUGGUGAAACGAUUUAGCCCUUAGUAGGAAUUUCAUCCCGUUUCUCUGCGUGGGAAACGACGCCCGCGGGGUUUUACCAUGGUGAAACUACUUUCUUUUCUCUUCUUCGUUUCAUACAAAAAGUACGGCUUUACUGACAUGAUAUUCUAAUAAAUAUGCAUGAUGAAACUCCACUGACCACUAGCCUUAGCUACUGAGUAUAUCGGAGAAUGUGACCAUGUGCUCCAGCUGUAAGAUUCGGCAGAAUUUUGGUAAGGAUAUGUCGAGGUUCGGCUUGGACCCAAGAAGAAGAGGCUGCUACUGGCAAAUUUAAAGGCGCUGUUUGAUUGUUCUUUUUUUUACUCUCAAAUCCCAACAUAUCAAAUGUAUAGAUAUAUGUAUAAAAUAUUAAAUAUAGACUAUUUACAAAACAAAAAAAUCUAUCUAAAGUGAUGAGGACCAGACUCGAUCUUCCGAGAGGUAGAUGGUAAAUUCGAUUUGUGGAGAUCUCGACAUUGGCGAUCCGGCUUCAAAUCAGACACGAUUCGAACCCUGCAACCGUUACACCACUGCUCUGUUGGUUAUCAACCAAGCACAACUUGAUUGACCUCGCCAAGAAGGCUGUUUGAUAUGACCAUGCCAGCAAGCAAGAUGUCACAAGCUCCAAGUCAAGCUACAACCACUCAAGUUUUACCUACACCGACACCAGCUCAAGUCAUCGAUGGACUGGUUACACGUAGUCGUGCAAAGAAGCUACAACAAGAGGUCCACACGCUACUUUGUGAGAUUUAUUUUAACAUUAAUGAGAAUUAUAUACUACCUAAGUGUUCUACCUUGAUUGUACUCAGGUAUAUAGAAGAAGAGAAGGAUGAAUCGGACCUGAAGAACGAACCAGUGCAAGUUCCAUAAGACACUACAAAAUGGACCAGAGAGUCAAAAACGGACUAGUGGAAGUCAAGAACGGACCAGUGUAAAGAAAUCUUCAUAACUUUUUAAUCACUAAAGCUAUGAAGGCCUAUGAAGACUUGUUGGAAAGCUUGUCGAGUCUAUUUUCCAAUGAAUCUAGUGGCGACCAGUUUGGAUACUCCAUAGUGCCUGCAGACCAGAAUUAGUACAGACUGCUCAGAAGGUCAACAGUCUGUCGUGACAGAAUGUUGGUACAACUUGUCGUGCAAAACUGUACCAAUCUACAACGUAUAGCCCUUUGACGGUACUGUUAUCAUCCACAUAUCUACCUUUAGUUUAUCUAUCGUUUGUUACUGUUUUGUUCACCACCUAUAGUCCACUGAAAAAGCCACAAAAAAAAUCCUAUAACCCUUUGACGGUACUGUUUCUUGUGUUUUGUGUUCAUCAAGUUGCUAGUCACCCUCUUUACAUAUAUUGUGUUGUGUUUUAUUUGUUAUCCGUGCCCCUGUUAGUAUAAAAAAAAGAGAUAAAAAAAUCAGUGAAAAAAAAUCAGAGAAAAGAAAAGAGAAAGAACAGAAAAAGUAGAAAAAGUAGAAGAAGAGGAAAGGGGUUGUAUUGCGGUUUGCUUACUGAAAAAAAAUUCAGUUUACGAAUUCAGAUUCUUGGUGAUUUAUAUACCAGCAACACUAUAUCAUUUGAGCACAUCAAAUCACUUGAUUUUUAGUACCGUAGCCUCCCUUGUUUAGCCACCUAUAGCUCCACCAAAAACUGAAACCAGGGCAUUCGACUCGUAAUCCUUGUGACCUCGGAAUCACUUCUGCUGAGCUGCUACACUAGCACAAUUCACUAACCUUGAGAACAGGAAAGAGCACUGGUAAGUAAGAGGUGAGGUUGUGUGAUUCCACAAAUUUACCCAUUCCACUAUAUUUUGCUUUAGUGCUAACAUGACAGGAUCCAACUCAAGUAUUCAUGGUAAUCGUCAUGGAGAGUUGCGCCAAAUGGCAGACUCACUCUUGCAGGCCAUGGAGAGGAUGCUUGAUGCACGCAUACCUGUAGAUGGCCGGAGGGCUCCUCGGUAUCAAUCUGAUGAAUCUGCUGCUAAAAAUUCUAAUGGAGGACAUGACCGUUUUAGAGAUGGUUGUGGUGGUGGCAGGCGGACUGGUCAUCAUGGCCAAGAUGGAGGACGAGCUCAUAGACGUGGUCGUGGCCAUCAUGUUCAUUUUGAUGAUGAAGAAUUUGAUAACUUUGAUCACGAAGAGGGGUCUGAUGAGAAUCCCUUUGCAAAUGAUGGGCUGCAUAGGCGGCGAAAUGAUCACCGGCGGCAUGCUGAGCAUGGAGAUAGAGAGCAUCAUCAUGGUCGUCGUAAUAGGAAAGAUCCGGACAGCAUUGCUCGUGUCAAGUUGAGUAUCCCAAAAUUCACUGGAAGAGAGGAUGCAGAUGCAUAUCUUGAGUGGGCUGAGCAGUAUGAUCAAAUUUUUAGAGUGCAUAAUCUCUCUGAUCAGAGGUGUGUCAAUCUUGCUUCAGUGAAGUUCUCUGGUUAUGCUCUGACUUAGUGGAAUCAGAUACAAGAGAAUCAACUUGUGUUGGGCCGUGAACAUAUCAACACAUGGGAAGAGAUGAAGCAAGUGAUGAGAAGGCGAUUUGUACCAUCAAGCUAUCAGCGUGACCUUCGCAAUAGGUUACAAAUGUUGAAGCAAGGAAAAAGAUCGGUUGAUGAGUAUUAUAAGGAGAUGGAACUGUUGUUAGUGCGGACUGAAAUUAGAGAGGAUCCAGAGUCAAAAAUGGCAAGAUUUUUGGGUGGUCUCAAUGAGGACAUUGCUGGAUUUGUUGAGAUGUUUCCAUAUCAUACGUUGCAAGACCUUGUUGAUCAAGCUAUGCGUACUGAAAGAAAUUCAGUAAGAGACACGUGAUCAAGCACUGCUUUCGGUGGGGGACGGUCCCAAGGUGCUACAGCUAGGCCCUCCUCAUCUAAUGCUCCUUCAAAGAUGGUGGUUUCUACAACAUCAUCUCCUAAAAAUCAGCAGCGUCCUGCUACAAGCGCAGCAGCCCCAACUGUUGCUUCCUCAGCUACUACUUUCUCUGCACAUAGUAGAGAAAUUGUGUGCCACAAGUGCCAUGGUCGUGGACAUAUUGCUGCACAAUGUCCCAGUAGGAGGACCAUGAUUGUGAAUGAGAAUGGUGAAUGGGAAUCUGAAAGUGAUCAAGAGGAAGAAGGUCCAAGAUAUGAUGAGGAUCAUGAAAACAAUGAUAAUGAGAUCCAACCCGAUGAAGGUGAUAACAACUGCUUUAUUUCUCUUCGUGUGCUUAGUGUUACUGCUGCAAAGGAAGAGAAUGGCAGCGACACAAUCUUUUCUACACUCGAGGCAUGAUCAAAGAGAAGUUGUGUAGAAUUAUUGUUGACAAUGGCAGCUGCAACAAUAUUGCUAGCCAAGAAUUGGUUGAUAGAAUGGAGCUAAAACAAAGGCGUCAUCCUAAUCCAUACAAGAUGCAGUGGCUGAAUGAUUGUGGCACGCUGCGUGUGAGCCAUGUUGUGACAGUUCCUUUCUCUACUGGGAGGUAUAAUGAUCAUGUGCAGUGUGACGUGGUGCGUAUGCAAGCGUGCCAGCUGCUGCUUGGUAGACCAUGGUUAUAUGAUCGUGAUGUUCAGAUUUUUGGAAGAACCAACAAGCUGUCUUUUGUGUACAAAGGAGAGCGAAUGUAUUUGCUUCCUUUGACACCGGAGGAAAUCUUAAAAGAUGAUCUCAAGAAGAAACAGAGAGAGAGAGCGAGAACCACUUAAGAGUGACCCACAAAAAUAGUGAGGAAGAGUUUCCACAGCCAAAUAAAACCCCACAGCUACAAAGAACCCAAAAACUAGGAAAAUAGGGGUUAGUUAUGAUGGCUAGGAAAGAGGAUCUAAAGGAGUUGAGUGAACCUAAUGCCAAGUUCUUUGUACUCUUGUACAAGGAUACUCUUUUUGCUUCUAACACCUUACCCUCUACCUUGCCAAGUGUUGUUUUUGAUGUCUUACAGGAUUUCGAGGAUGUGUUUCCAGACGAGGUGCCACCAGGGCUGCCAGCCAAGAGAGGGAUCGAGCAUCAAAUUGAUUUGGUUCCUAGUGCUUCCCUCCCAAAUCGCGCUGCCUACCGCACCAAUCCGGAGGAAACCAAGGAAAUCCAUCGACAAGUGGAGGACUUGAUCAAGAAAGGGUAUGUGCAAGAAAGUCUUUCACCUUGUGAUGUCCCAAUCCUUUUAGUUCUUAAGAAAGAUGGAUCUUGGCGAAUGUGUGUGGACUGUCGUGCAAUUAACAACAUCACUGUGAGGUAUAGGCAUCCCAUCCCAAGAUUAGAUGAUAUGCUUGAUGAACUUAGUGGUGCCAUAAUUUUCACUAAAAUUGAUUUAAGGAGUGGUUAUCACCAAAUUCGUAUGAAAGAAGGAGAUGAAUGGAAAACAGCCUUUAAAACAAAAUUUGGGUUGUAUGAAUGGUUGGUGAUGCCCUUCGGUUUGACAAAUGCACCUAGCACGUUUAUGAGAUUGAUGAACCAUGUGCUUCGAGCUUUUAUUGGAAAGUUUGUUGUUGUUGUUUAUUUUGAUGACAUCUUAAUUUACAGCAAGUCCCUUGACGAUCAUGUAAAACAUAUCCAAUGCGUGCUUGCUGUCCUACGUGAGCAACAGUUGUAUUCUAACCUUGAGAAGUGCACCUUUUGUACCGACAAGGUAGUUUUUCUUGGAUUUGUUGUCUCAGGGCAAGGUGUGGAGGUCGAUGAAGAGAAGAUCAAGGCUGUACAAGAAUGGAUGCCUCCACAGAACGUGAGUCAAGUGAGGAGCUUCCUUGGGCUUGCUGGUUUCUACCGGCGGUUUGUGAGAGAUUUCAGCACCAUUGCUGCCCCUAUGAACGAGCUUACUAAGAAAGUAGUGCCUUUCAAAUGGGAAGAAGCACAUCAAAGGGCAUUUGAUGAGUUAAAGAAGAAGCUAACAACAGCUCCAGUUCUUGCACUUCCCGAUUUCGGUAAGACUUUUGAGAUUGAAUGUGAUGCAAGCGGAAUUGGUAUUGGAGGUGUGCUCAUGCAAGAAUGAAGGCCAAUUGCAUACUUCAGUGAAAAGCUAAGUGGUCCAACUCUUAAUUAUUCAGUUUAUGAUAAAGAACUAUAUGCUCUUGUUCGGAGUUUGGAAACUUGGCAACACUAUCUUUUUCUUAAAGAAUUUGUAAUACACUCGGACCAUGAAUCUUUGAAACAUCUUAAAGGUCAACUAAAACUGAACCGAAGACAUGCAAAAUGAUGUGAAUUCAUUGAAUCUUUUCCUUAUAUGGUUAAAUACAAGAAAGGAAAGGAAAAUGUGGUAGCUGAUGCUUUGUCCCGACGUCAUGCUUUGCUUACACAACUUGAUGCUAAAAUUCUGGGAUUAGAAAGUAUAAAGGAAAUAUACACUACUGAUUCAUACUUUGCUGAACUAUAUACAAAGUGUUGUGAUGGAAAAGGAUGGGAAAAAUAUCAUGUGCAUGAUGGAUUCUUAUUUCGAGCUAACAAACUAUGCAUUCCAGAUUGCUCUGUUCGAAUUUUACUUGUGCAGGAAGCUCAUGCAGGUGGGCUUAUGGGCCAUUUUGGAGCCAAGAAGACAGAGCAAGUGUUGGCCGACCACUUCUUUUGGCCAAAGAUGAGAAGAGACGUGGAGAGACAUGUUCUUCGCUGCGAGUCAUGCCACAAAGCUAAGUCUCGUUUGAACCCUCAUGGACUUUACACUCCUCUUCCUAUUCCUAGUGCUCCAUGGGAAGACAUAUCUAUGGAUUUUGUUCUUGGAUUACCACGCACUAAGCGGGGAAAGGAUUCAAUUUUUGUUGUGGUUGAUCGAUUUAGCAAAAUGGCGCAUUUUAUUCCAUGCCACAAAAGUGUCGAUGCUUCGCAUAUUGCUGAUUUAUUUUUCAAAGAAGUUGUGCGCUUGCAUGGAGUACCACAUACUAUUGUUUCUGAUCGAGAUACAAAAUUUUUGAGCUAUUUCUAGAAAACUUUAUGGGGAAAACUUGGGACACGGUUGUUGUUUUCCACAACAUGUCAUCCGCAAACGGAUGGACAAACUGAAGUUGUGAAUCAAGCACUAUCAAUGUUACUGCGAGCUGUUCUCAAAAAGAAUUUAAAACUUUGGGAAGAAAGUUUGCCACACGUUGAGUUUGCAUACAAUAGGGCAGUGCAUUCGACUACUAAAUUUUGCCCAUUUGAAAUUGUAUAUGGGUUCAAACCCACUGCUCCAAUAGAUCUUUUGCCUUUACCUGUGCAGGAACGAUUGAACUUCAAUGCAAGCAAGCGAGCUGAAUUUGUCAAGAGCCUUCAUGACCGAGCUCGAAUCAACAUUGAGAAGAUGACCAAGAUAUAUGAGAAGCGUGCAAACAAGGGUCGAAAAAAAUGUUACUUGAGGUUGGAGAUCUCGUUUGGGUACAUCUACGCAAGGAUAGAUUCCCUGAACAAUGCAAGAGCAAGUUGCAGCCCAGAGCAGAUGGUCCCUUCAAAGUGCUUCGCAAGAUCAAUGACAAUGCAUAUGAAAUUGAUCUCCCAAGUACAUAUGGUGUGAGUACAAGCUUCAAUGUCGCCGAUUUAUCUCCUUUCCUGGGAUUGGACGAGUCGAGGACGACUCUUUUUGAAGGGGGGAGGAUGAUAUGACCAUGCCAGCAAGCAAGAUGUCAUAAGCUUCAAGUCAAGCUACAACCACUCAAGUUUUACCUACACCGACACCAGCUCAAGUCAUCGAUGGACCGGUUACACGUAGUCAUGCAAAGAAGCUACAACAAAAGGUCCACGCGCUACUUUGUGAGAUUCAUUUUAACAUUAAUGAGAAUUAUAUACUACCUAAGUGUUCUACCUUGAUUGUACUCAGGUAUAUAGAAGAAGAGAAGGAUGAAUCAGACCUUGAAGAACGAACCAGUGCAAGUUCUAGAAGACACUACAAAACGGACCAGAGAGUCAAAAACGGACCAAUGGAAGUCAAGAACGGACCAGUGCAAAGAAAUCUUCAUAACUUUUUAAUCACAAAAGCUAUGAAGGCCCAUGAGGACUUGUUGGAAAGCUUGUCGAGUCUAUUUUCCAAUAAAUCUAGUGGCGAAUAGUUUGGAUACUCCAUAUUGCCUGCAGACCAGAAUUAGUACAGACUGCUCAGAAGGUCAAUAGUCUAUCGUGACAGAAUGUUGGUACAAAUUGUUGUGCAAAACUGUACCAAUCUACAAUGUUUCGUGGUGGAUGGCAUACAUUGCUGGAAAGCUCUUGGAGUCUAGUUUCACAUCCAAGAAACGGUUCGUCAUUUGUACUUCCCAAUAAAAAGUUAUGGUCAGUUUAUUGGAAACUGCUCUGGAGGCCAACAGUCACGCGAAGCCAGUUCGGGAAUCCAUUCCGAGGGGACCUUUCACAUUGCCUUCCCUCAGAAACUCUAUUUCGUUUUCAUACCUAUCUAGGAGGGUUGUUUCUAGUAUAAAUAUCCCCUACUUCUAAGCUGUCAGCAACCUUUGAUCAUUUGAUAAACUACAUGAUAUUCCAGCCGCGCUGCUGAGUGCCUUACUCAUCCUUUGUUCUUCCUUGUUCUUCUUGGACUUGUGAAGUGAAUCCUCUGGGUUCUCCUACUUCGUGCUCUAUGGCUUCCGUUCGGCUGCGUCGUAUUGUGUGGAUUAGUUCCGGAUUGUGGUUCUGCGGUCAUUCGGAGAUCGAGUCGAAGUCUUCGCGGUUUCAGUGCCUCUCUCCCCGUCGCUUGGUCGCAUCCAACCUUUGUCAGGCAUAAAGCUAGUUAUCCGUUGUUCGAAGCAAGUUAUCCUUGUUCUUUUGAUCUACUGUCGUGAAGAUCGGGCCACCCUCGUACCGAUUCAUAUCGGUAGCCUAUCACUGUUCCUAGAAGCGAAUCGAAGAACACAAACAAGAAGGUAUAAACACGCAAUCUGAAAUUGCAAAUAUGAAUAACACGAAUAUCAAUGGAGGGUUCAAGAACUCGGUUCCAAAAAGCUAAUCGACAUAGUGGAGGAGAUCAAGAACCCUGGAUCACUGUAAAAGGAUUUGUCACCACAGUUACAAAGAACGAUUCAGUUUCUCGAUGGAAAACUAAACUCUAAACAAAACCCGAGUCUAAACAGCGGUGGCUGCGGAGAAUAUAAAAGAGAGACGUCCUAGGGUUGGAGGCGACCAGGGAGAGGCACCCACAACUUGGGCUUAAGGCCCGACUCGAUACAUGGCCAAGUUGGCCCAAAAUAGGUGAUGCAGCACCUUGUCGUGGUCAUACAGAUUAAUCCACGAAUGAUUUAGAGCUCGGACUGGAUCUAAAACGACGGCGUCGUCGUCCCCUUUCCAACGAGUUUAAGAUCAUCCCAUUUCGAUGUCGUAUGAAGAAAUUAUGAUCGAAACACUGACAACGUGUCUACUGAAUUCGAGAGUGAUGUGGUAGCUGAGUUGGAGAUGAAUUGCAACAUGAGAAAGACCAAUGUAUCCAGCGUGGCGAUGUCCUCAUCAUAAAUAAUAAUUUGUGAUUUGAAUUUGAGGAUCAAACGAUAUUUUUUAUAGCAAAACUAUUUGGAUGUACAAGUGCUGAUACUAUUUUCUUAAAUCAAGUUAAAUUUAAAAUUAAUUGAGUCAGUGAAAUGCGAGAUGUGUAUUUAUUUCAAGACAGAAGAAGCAGUUGUGUUUGAUGAGUGCACUCCCCGGUCAUUAAAUUAUACUGUUUAGGACAAGAUUUAUUUAAAUCUUAUCUUAAAACUAACAAAAUCAAUAACAUUUUAUAUUAUUAGCGUUGCAAGCAUACAAAUUAUGUAUAAAUGUAUAUUCCAUAAUAAUUAUAAAAUGACAUAAGUUGAAAGGAUUUAAGAAAAUGUUGCAGAAGGAAUUAGUGUAGAAACCAGGUAAAAUUAAGUGUAACAUACACAUCUGUGUCUGUAACUGGAUUUUUAAAAAAAAGAGCAUACUCUCUUCAUCUCUAAAUAUUUAUCAUUAUUAGUGCCUGUGCCACAAAUUUGACUAGAUUUGUAAUAUUUGUAUCUCCAAACAAUUGUUUAAAAAAUUAGUUUGAAAUACGUUUCUAAUGAUUACUAAUUACAUACUAUAAAUAUAAAUAUUUUUAAUAUAUGUCUAAUUAAAAUUUUUUCUUAAAAACACAACGAUAAAUAUUUAAGAAUAGAGUGAGUACCUCACAAAACCCUCUCAGUCCGUAGCCUGAUAAACACCAGCAGCCCCCGGAUGCAAACGCCUGGCUCUAGCAGGCUCAUGCUAACAUUUCCAUAAAUCCUAUUAGCGAAUCAACGAGCACGUACAUUUUUUUUUGAUUUAAAAUUAACGAUAUGUUUUUCGCCAAAUAACAUCAUAGAUACUUAGAAAAUAUAUGGUGCAAAUAACGGAAACUAGCGUGCGAUAACGGAAACCGUUAUCAUUUGUACAUGCGGUUUCCGUUAUCAUUUUUGUAUAAAUUUUUCUAGUUUGAGCUUGCAUCUCAAGUUUUACAUGUGAUUGCAUUUUUUUUGCGAUGAAAGAAGAAAUAUAUUAGAUAAAAAUUAGGUACAUGAACAAGUUACAAAACGUUGGGCCUUACAUAAAUAUCCAGAAAACUAAUUCUCGUCUAAAAUAUAGCCACGCCUUGUGAAAAGCUCCGGAUGUCAAAACCAAACUUAUACAACGAUUUUUAGUACGGAGGACCGUAUAGCCAAACAUUCAACAAAAGAUCUGAGAAAGAUGUCCAACGAAUGACGGCCAACAUUCAUUUAGAUGGGGUUGAGAAACUUAUUCUAUCCAAUGAUUUUCUUUUUCUGCCACCAAAGAAUGAAGACGAUUGAUCUGAUCGUAACUAGAUUGAGGAUGCUGACAAUAAUAACUAUGGCGUCAGCAUCCCAUGUGACUACAUAUAUGAAUGUACCGUGAAUAUACUACAAAGUUUUGAUUUUCUCGAAUCACAAAAUCUAUUUUUAAAUAGUUUGUAUCUUUGCACCAUAUAUUUCUCACGAUACUUAAUAUAUGUAUUAAAUCAAUCAAGGUUAAUACAGUUAAACCGAAACAUUUUUUGUAAAGCUUUAACAUUUUUUAUCCAAUCUGGAACAUCAAUUUUUCUCUUGAGUUUGGAACAACUUUAUGUUAAAUAUUAUAUGGGUUUAGGCCCAUAUAUUAUUUGAUGAUAAUUAAUUAUAAGACCUGUAAUAAAUGCCAUACUAUAAAUGAUUUAAUACCAAAUUGGUUGUUAACAUUUUGUUUACUCAACUUAAAUAGGCGGCUUAUCACAGCUCCUAUAGAGAAGUUGAGGAAGGAAAAAAAGGAGGCCACAUGCGUGUGCGCCUCCGCUGCCGCUGAGUGAGCGAGCGUGACGCGCGUGUAUACGUUUUGCCUGGUGUAAAAGAAAAGAGAGGAAAAACGGAAUCCUGCGGGCAAUUAGAUUUUUAGGACGUUUUGCAUGGUGAAAAAGGAAAGAGAAAAAAACAUCUCCUUCCUCGGAUUCGCGGGAUAACUUUCUGGUGGACGUUCGAGGGACUACACUGCGAACCUCUUCCUGCAUCGACUGUGGUCCGCUACUUCAAGCAACACACUAUGUCGACUAGUGCGAAUGGAGCUGUCAGAGCCUUUGGCACUGGUCCCUCCUCUGGAUAUAUUAAAUUGUUAUAUCUUAUUUUUAGUAUGUCUACAAUCAUAUUUUUCAAUGUUUAUCACUAGUCUGAGUGGCGAUAAAAUUGUACACGUGCACAUAUAUGCCACCACUUUGAUGAUUAUAUUUUUUUGGAUUACAUCAAAUAUUAAAAUAUCUAAAUUUCUAACAAUCCAAAAACAUGAUAUUAGGCAUGUUUCUAUUAGUGGUUUUGCUGUUGUGUUAAAACUAGACAAUUUUGAUGGUUCAAACUUCAAACUAUAAGCGGUGGCACGCAAGAAUGGUGUUGUGGUUGACUGCUAUGAGUUGUUAUCACGCCGCAAAAGGGAAGCCAGAAUAAUUUACUCCUGAGGAGCAGUAAUACCCGAUUUUAAGGAUAAAACCAGAUAUACACUAUAUGUGAGUUUUAAAGGACCUCACAUACAGCUACAAAUAAGGGGUAAUAUCAAAGGACAAUGCAUAAAUAUAUAACGUACUGUUGACGGUCCUUAAUACUCACAUUUAACCGUCAAUUAAUCAUAGAAAAGGACUUAUAUGCAACCAACACCAGACUUAGGGUUUUAUCUGACAGAAUUCCACGAGUUUUGGUGUUUGUCUAUUUCUGCAGGGGGUUAGGCCCACACGUCGGGUUUACAUAUAGAUAUUAACGUGCCGCGCAAUUUUCUAUCAUCUAGAAGACUCCAGAAGCCACGGGAACGAACGGGAAGCCGAGAGGGCUCAGGGACAGGGCGCCCGCCCACCUUUUCCACCAAUCAUGAUCAACUUUGCGGAUCGUGCUCCACCGACCUAAGGGAUCAAGGAAAACCGUGCGAUUGAUGUCGGUUUGAUCCGACGGCCCAGAUUCAUCUAAAAAGACUAUAUAAGCAAGGCCCCCUGGCCCCUGGAGAUCAUACCUCUUCUACAUAAUCAAAGCUAGGAUUUCAAUUCUUCAUCCAAGUAGAGAGGAUCCCUCUAGUUCAUCUAGUUCUAGUUCAUCUAGUUCUAGUUCUAGUUAGUUCUAGUGGUAAUCUAGAAAAUAGGGAGAGAGAAGAGGAGAGCGGAGGAGGAGCCGGAUAUGUCGGAUCUUCCUCAACUUUAUUCUUUUGCAGCAACUGGUUCGUUCUUCAUCGUUCUCCAAGUUCUUCAAUUCAUAAUUCCUGAGUUCUUUAAUUACUUUUAUUUACACUCAAGUUAUUUAUUGGAUUCCCUCUUGCAUCAAGUGCUUUAGUCUUUAUAACGCUAGAGUAGUAAUUAAUAGAUUAGACGUGGUGUUUAGUCUUGCAUUUACCUGGAAUUGCACCCAAUCCUGCGGAUUGUUGUGGUAGCCCUAGGGUAGUGACAGCCCUAACGUUCGACGUAUUCCACCUCGUUCGGAUCGGUGUUUGUAGGACCGUAGUCAGAGCUUCCUAGCCCCCUUCUCAUCUCUUUCUGUGGUUAGUGUUCUGAUGUCCCGAAAUAAAUAAUCUUUAAAGUAAUUCUUAGAUCAACUAGAGAACUCUCAGGAAACUUCCUCUCUUCCCACCAAAAAUAAUUAUAUAGUUAUCCUUAGGCGAUUUUGAUUCUUAAUUAGUACACUCACGUUCCCUGUGGAAAAUCGAUACUCUGGAAUACUUCCGGGUGAAGGCUACAUCGGUAUCCGUACGCUUGUGGAUUUUUCUGUUUGCGUUUAAAAUACCCAACAAGCUUUCUGGCGUCGUUGCCGGGGAAUGGUAGCUGUGCUAGUUUCGAACCAAGUCGUCCGUGUAUCCUGGUUCUUUUCCUUUUUUACCACACACACCUUACCAUUUUCACCACACCACAUGGAUUUCACUCUAAACAUUAAUGAGCAUGGAAUUUAUUUCAUAGCCACUUCAUAUACUCCAUGCUCAUAUGCAACAUCUUCCCAAUCUUUCGGUCUCUCCAAUAUCACCACAUUCGAGAUCUCCAUCCCCCUCUUCCUUUCUAUUUAUAAAAACUUUAAAAGGGCGGUUGUCGAUGCAUAUGUCUAUAAUAAGUUUUGUAGAUCUCGUUGAGUUGAUCUUGAUAUAGGUCAGCGUUGAAGGGAAAACCACUUCGCCGACAUAAAUCGAUAGUUUCCCAAGGACAAGCUUAGUGUCCUAAAAUAAGCGCUGAUCGGAUCGUAACAUGAACUUUUAAUUAUUUGCAACAUUAACUUGUGUAUUGAGCAUAUAAGGAUAAUCGUAAAAAUAUUCCUUCGGGUAUUCUUGUCACUAACCUUUCCAGGAUUGGAGCAAGAAGAUCGGAUGAAUGACAAGCACAAGGUAUGUCCAAUCAAUCAUCAUACAACAUUAAAUUAAAUUCAUCCAAACUUGAAUUUUGCAAAAUUCAAGCUUGGGGGAGUACUUUACAUAAAAACAUCAUUUGCCAUGUUGCUAUGUUGGUUGUCCUUACCUUUGGGACAUGCUCAAUUUGUUAAAUACUAAUCACACUACUUCAUCUCCACUUGAGUAGAUCUCUAUAAAUGCUCUCAUGCUACCUUUAUUUGCUUUAGUAUAUGUCUAGGUUUGGAGUAGUUUCAUUUAUCUCUUAAUUAAGCAUGGUGCUUAGUUUAGGAAUGAUGAUCUUACUUCCAAGGGAUUUUAAAUUAAGCAUGGUGCUUAAGUUAAAAUGCCCUCCUAAAUCAAAUUAGACAUGGUGUCUAGGUUGAUUUUUGAGCCGAUAGUAUGCUAUAAUAGAUAUUGGAUAUUUUGUUGGACUAACCCCUGCAGGAAAACUUUCAAUAUCGACCUGGGAAGUCCUGAGAUAAACUCACAUUGGAGACAAAGAGAGAGACACAUGAAGUUUAACAAUUUACACAAGGAAGGCAUAGCUCACAAGAGAUGAUCCAUGGAGGGUGCCACAAACACGAUGCAUAACCGCUAAGAAAGGAAAGCUUCCACAAGGUGAUAUUGUACCAUCAUUCUUCAAGUAAGGUAACAUCUUAAGGUACUUGACUAUCACUUCUAUAAGCUUCUCCUUGGUUCUAGUGUUCACAUGAAUAAAAGAGACAAACAUGUAUGAUUUACAACUCUAGAUUAACCAACCCAGUCGAUUCAAUAUGUUUAGUCCUUCCACCUUUGUGAUCCCACACUCCUAAUCGUAUGAACUAAAAUGUUGCACACGCAAUCUUUGGAAGAUAUAUAAAAAAAGAUAAGUAUAGAUAGAUUAUCUUUCCAUAAGGUUGAGCAAUCUGCUCUAACAAAUAUUUUAAAUGCUACACUCAUGAUCUUAUUAUCCAUUAACUUUGUCUUGCUCACUAUGCUUAAGGUUAGAGAAGAACAAAUACACUUUUAGUUCUGUUGGUGUUUUCCACCAACAGAGCCCAUGCACUUGAUCUCUGCCUUGUCUCUAUGAGUAGGUACACUUUGAGCAAAAUAUGAAGGACUUUUACAACUCCCAGACUCCACCAAGUGAAGAACCUAGAUCUACGAGCACAAACACACUGGAGAUACUGGACACUCAGGCGAUCACUGCCCUGAGAUGCUUGAGGACGUAACUACUGGAGUAACCCCGUUAUGGAAGUAAUUACUGACCUUCUGCCGGUCAAGAGAGACGAUCCAGGACGCCACGUCAUCCCGAUCUCCAUCGGCAUGGUGGACUUCCUAGAAGCACUCUGCGACUUUGGUUCCAGCGUCAACAUUAUGCCCAGGGUACUCUAUGAAAAAUUCUUUACACAUCCUUUACUAGAAACAACCAUGUGUUUGCAGCCUGCAGAUCGGACACUAAGUUCUCCAAAGGGAAUAUUGAAGAACCUCUGCGUCUGAGUUGGUACUUUGUACGCUCCAGCGGACUUCUUGGUAAUAGAGACUGGUACUGAUGAGAGGGCACCCAUCAUCCUAGGGAGGUCAUUCCUGAACACCUCAGGAGCUGUCAUCUACGCUAGUGCUACCAAGAUCAGUUUCUACAUCAAGGGGAGGAAGGAGACGUUUUCCUUCAAGAACAAGACUACACAAAUCUCAGAGCAAUCCCGACAUGAACCAAGGAAGAGGACCAAUAGGAGGAACGGGAACAAGGAAGUGUGGACCGAGUCAGUUAAGAUGGUCACUGCAGUUCAAGGAGGUCAAGAUCGUCGACUUAAGUCAUCAUUCCUGACCAAAAAGGACGACCCAGCUCUAGAUGGCAGAUCAGACAUUCCGAAAGAUUAAAGGUUAUUGACAUGGGAGAAGACGAAUACGAUCCACCCGUCAUCCUUGGAAGACCGUUCCUCAGCACCGUUAAAGCAAUCAUCUACAUUGGAACCGGAGAAGUCCACAUGCACUUCCCCUCUGAGAAGGUACCGCUAUUUUACUGACCCUAACUAUAUAGUUGAAGACCCUAAGCAGGUCAGGACAAGAAGAAGAUGACACAACCGCCACCAGAGGAGGCAAAUCAAGGACGGAUGGGCAGACUAUGAAGGAGAAGUAGUAAGGUCUAAAGACAUACAACUUGAACAUAACUGUCCUGAGGAGACCGUAGCACCGAGUUAGGUGUGGAGAGAGAAGAUAGUUAUACACAAAGUGGAGACGCUGCUGGAAUCACCGACUACGCCAUCCAGCAAAUCCCAGGACGACUGAGAAAAUGGAGAGUCCCGUUCGGAGGACUUAAAAACACAGAACGCCUUGCCAAGAGGUAAACUUGGUAGUUAUCUUUUUUCUUUUAAUUAUUUAAAAUAGUUUGCUUAGUUAAUCAGGUUCAUAUCAUCGUGAAAAGAAAAUAAAAAUAUUAAAAAUAGUAAGCCCCAUGUGAGUAUGCUCAUGGCAUAAACCCAUAAGUACAUUCACUGUGGUGGCGUAAAAAUGAAAUAAAUAUAUUCCUGUCCUAUAAAAAUAAAAUUAUAAAAAUAGAUUUAUGAUCCUACCAAAGAAAAUAAUAUUUAUUAGAGGAAGCUCAAUAUGAUAAAGGCUAGAUAUUUGUGCUAACACUUAACUAGUUCUACAAAGCUUUGUUGUCUAUUUGAGCUCUACAGAAUUCAAGGAUCAAAGAAGACUAGCUAACGGAGGACAUCCUAAUCGCUGUCAGGGUGCUGCUGACAUUCAAAUACACCUCCGCCACCUGCUAGCUACAUCAGAAAAAAUUACGUCAAAAUCCAGCUUGGGGGAGAGCACUCCCAUUUAUCCAGCUAAGUGUUCUACUCACGUUUAUACUUUACUCAAAUAAUAAAAAGAUGUAUAAUCAUAACAAUCCAAAUAAAUAUUUUGUGCUUAUAUAUAUAUCUCUUUGCUUAGUUUGCUAAAUAAAUAAAUAAAUAAAAUUUGCUAUGAACCCUCAUGAUAAGCUCUCACAUGGAAAUGAUGAAUAGUUGCUCUACCAUGACUAGUUCUCAAAAUUGAAAUCUCUCUCAGGUUUAGGCAUGACUGUUAUUAAUUAAAAUUUGCUCUAAACCUGAACUUGUGGAAAGAGUACUUGAUCUAAAGUCUAAGUCGUUAACGGAUAUGAUAUGGGAAGGUUGAGCUGCUGUUUAUCUGUUCCUAGAGAUGCUAGAAUUCUGGAGGAUUUUAUCUUUGAAAAUCUUUAAAAUAUUACAUGAUGAGUUCCUAUAUGAUGAGAGUUUAAAUUCCUACCCCAGCCACAUACACAUGCUUAUUAGACUAGGAACCAUACAUUUACUUUUUACUGCUUAUGAGCAUUGAGUGUGGUCAAGCUGUGUAGACCCUUAGGAGCUUGUCAUGUGGUUAAAUCAAGAUUCACUUGCACGUCCACUCACACAUGCUGCUUCUACUCUGGAAGUACGCAUCCACAUAUACCCACCCAUUUCCAUCUUCAGAACCACCCAAAAAUAUUCUACUCCUAAUCCGGGAGAGAAUAGCCAAAAACAUUAUCCUAUCCCUGUUAUUCCCCGUGAAAUAAAUGUUCAAGAUAUUUUGGGUACUACCACUUGCUACAUUCCAGGAGGGUGAGUGCUCUGAAAAAAAGAAGAUAUGAGGAAAUAAAAAGGGGCAUGUGCCCGGAACCUCGAAAGAAAAGAAAAAGUGAGACGAGAGGUAAAAAUGGACAAGUGUCCGACAGUAAAAUUAGGGGUACAAGAUACCCACCUGAGAGAAAAGAAAAAGAAAAUAUAGAGCAUCUCAUUCUCCUCAAAAAGUUUCAAAAGAGCAAGAGAGGUAUGUAUCCCCUCAAAAGAGCACAAGUAGAAUUAGACUUUCACCAUUGUUAUCACCAUCAUCACCAUACAUCAUUCAUUCGCCACACAUGCAUGUCUUGAUUUGACUUAUUGACUUGUUCUUCUAGAUCCAUGGUUUGACUAUGCAAUAAAUGUCUUGUAAGUAUUAGUUGUCUCCCACCUAUGAGCUCCAGAUAUCAAAAUCUUAUUAGAGUAGGGUGAGAGAGAAGGCAAUGCCACUAUGCCUCAUACCAAAAAUACCACAUACUUUGAGAGAAGGCAUACACCAUUACUGCCUUGGUAAGGAUCUAGAAAUACCACAAAAGAGAGACUAGAGAGAGUCAUACAAGGAAUCUCUGAGUUUUAUUUGAAAAUCUGCAAAAACUCCAGAGCUAUAGUUAAUCGAAGAACAAGAGAUAUGGCGCUUGACUAGACCGUUCUAUCUUUUAACUCCUCAAGACACAAGUGACGGUUGCAAGCCCCAUGGUGGAAGGUAAAAUAAGUAAGUUU